UUUUUUUCCUUUUUUUGAACUUCUAUAUUUUCAUUAGGAUUUCUACUUGUUUUAAUGUUUGUUGGGGCUCAGUAAUAAGGGAUAGGAUAUGACUAAGAAAAUGAAAUUACAAAGUUUGUUGAUCUUUCCUCACUCUAGAAGACCUAAAACAUGAGAACGUUGACUUUGAAAGUCUCUUUUGGAUUCUUAGAAGUCUUGACAAAAAAAAAAAGUAGAAACUUCUAGUAAGACUGAAAAUAUUUAAUGAAAAAUCAUUGUAAUUCUGAUUGAAUUUAUUAUAAAAGCAAAUCCUCAAAGUAGGAACUCCCUUGGACUUGAUAUCUGAUUUGUUUACUCACCUAGAGACAAAAAAAGAUGUACUAAAAUUCCAGAAUAAAUUAAUAAUCAUAGAAAUGGUUGUUAUAGAGUCCUUCCACUUGCUGCAAAGUAGGAAAUUGGAGACCCUCAUUGAAAUUGUUAUGCUGCAUCUAGGCAAGAAUGUUUUGAGAGAAACAGGAGAGAGAAGAGUGCUCAAACUGCCAUUUCCAGUUGCAGUUCCCCUAAAUUUGUGUAGAGUCUUCUGACAUGUCAAGUCACAUGAUAUUCAAUGGAUCAUGCAGAUUUGAAAAAUAAAUCCAUUGAUUUAGGAAAACAGCACCUUGAUCAUGACUCAGAUUUAGGAGAGAAAUGAUUGGAACAGUUGGUGUAGAACUAGCACAAUGUCAUAUAUAAGGUAUAUGGAAGUUGGUGAGCUAAACCAUAUCCUACCAGGGAUCUUAUUUGUGUCGAUCUACGUUGUCUAUCAGCUAAAUAAUGGAGGGGUGGAAUUUGUCAUGUACGAGGAAAGCUCUCUUGAAAACUGGAAAAAAAUAAAAUCAAAUAAAAAAUGCAGUUUUAAAGCAGUCAGUCAUGCAUUUUUUUUUUCUGACAUUUUCAAUGAUUGCAGUUAUUCAUAGCCAACCAAGAGAAGUUCCAUGCUGAAGCUGAUAAGAAUUACUGGAAAGCAAUUGCAGAGCUCAUUCCUAAUGAAGUGCCAGCUAUAGAAAAGAAGAGAGGGAAGAAGGAUCAGGAUAAGAAGCCUUCCAUUGUUGUGAUCCAAGGGCCCAAGCCUGGGAAACCUACUGACCUGUCAAGGAUGCGACAAAUACUCUUAAAGCUAAAGCACAAUACACCUCCCCACCUGAAACCCUCUCCACCACCAGCACCAGCCCCGGCCAAGGACACCAAGACUGGCAAUUCUGCCUCUGCUGCUGCUCCCGCCAAGGCUGCUGUUGGGCCAAGCCCCCCUGAGGCUGUUGCUGCUGCUUGAUACUUAACUGGUUGCCAUCUUUGUCAGCUUUUUUUCUUAUAUGGAUGGAUAUUUGGUCUCGGAGAUUAUUAUUUUUGGUUUGUUGGGAGUUCUAGCCCUUUUAAGGACACUUUUGAUCGGUGGUUUAUGUGAUGGUGCUAGGUUAUAUUUUUGUGCAUGUUGAUGUAUAAAACAUGGUUUAUCUAGACAGCAUUUUGGCUGAUUAUAUUGUACCAUUGCAUUUUGGAUGGUAUGCCUGUUACCAGUGGCCAUUGGAUGAGUCUGAACUCAAGCUUGAGGUGACAUGAGAGGAGUCAGUUUAAGAUUGGUGAUUAGAUGGGUUGGAUGGGUUCAGGUGAUGCCAAUAAUGGUUCCAAUGGAUCUUGCUAUUUAUCAGAAUCUACAUGUGCUUUUUCUUGAGAGAAAAUGUUAAAAGUUUCUUAGUGCUGUGCCCUUUCUCAUUACCACCACAUGCUGAGGAUAUCUAUUUGGGCUCCCAUUCAGAAAGUUUGAAUGUGUGUAUGAUUCAAGUGGUCCUGCCACUGAAGAGAUUGAUCCAAGUCCAGAAAUAUGUUUGUACAGCACCAGACUGACUACUCAUAACUAUUGCAUUCCCAUCAUUCAAAAUCUGAAGUAGGCGGGUGGAGAUAUGUGGUCCAGUUGCAGCUUUUAUUAACAGACUGCCACAUGAAAGUCCAAAAGAUCCAAGCCAUUAAGUUCUGCCAAAGGGUGGGAACUCAGAGGCCAUUCAAACACUCAUCUAUGAGCCCUAUAUGGAUGCACUGAUGCUCAAAAUAGAAACCAUGUUCGAUCCAAAGGUCUCACAGACCUAUCACUUUAAAAACCAAUUCAUUGUGUUUGACUCUGACCCAAGGGCUUCACACAACCUAAUUUUGCUUGCUUAUGCCUUAGGCCCGCAACAAAACUCUCAUGUUAACAUUCCACUCAACUCUUACUAUUAUGGGUCUAAUAUGAAUCCCUGUAUCAUCUCCCCAGUUACAGUAAUCUUUACCAAAUGAACAGCACAAGGCACCAGUGUCAUUCUCAGGUUUUAACAUCAGUGGCAAACAUCAAUAUAUCAUCAUGAACUCGUUCUCAAGGAAUCCUCCAAAGAAGUUAACAAUGAAAAUGAAAAACUUGAAGCAUAAACAGCAACAGGCAAGAAAGAUGUUAUUUGAACAAGCGAAGGAGAACAGAAUGGGCAAUGAAUUUCAUACAGUUGACUUUGCUGCUUUGACCACUCUGCUACUUGUUUCUGCAUGAUCUAUCACAUAGGAGUAUUAAUGCCAUCAGCAGACUAAACAGUUGUCAUAUCAUUAUGCAAGAAGAUAUGAAAAGAGAUCAAGCUUCCAAAGCCAAUCAGCAAUACCUCACCGUGUAGAAAAUGAGCCAGAAAGAUGGCUUAGAACAUAACUGCCUAAUAAUACAAAGGUGAUGAAUGAUAUAAUCUUUAACUGCCAGUCAAUCCAAUAAACUUUACAUAAAUCAUAGAGGCAUGUUGCACAUCAGUUCUUCCCGGAAACUGCUCCCCUUUCAACUGCCGGGUAGCAGAGAUCCCAAAUAAAAUAUAAAGUGGAUUAGAAAAGUAGUUCAGAGUUCAGGAUGGUGAAGUGCUCUGGCUAUCAUCUGCCACGUAAGCUGGCAGGAGACGGCCGACCCCCUCUCUCACUGCCAAUAUCAUCUUCUAUUUCACCCCCAUCUACACAAAGGGCAUUGUUGUUGACACUCACUUCAGAACUAGCAUUACUGCUUGUGGCAAGAGGGGAAUCUGAAACACUAACUGUUCUGCUUCGUGUAGGCCCUGACCUCACACUGUACAUAGAGGACGCUGGAAUAUUUGUCAUCAGGGGCCGUAGAUUACCUGGAAUGCUUCGCCUUAUGUCCUGCCAAGAGCAAAUCCCAAAUUAAGGGAAAAAAAAAAAUGAUACUACUUCCUUCUCCUUUUAAAUAAUCCGAAUGGGAAAUAAAUAAGAGAAAAGGGGUUUUGUAGGAUCAAUCUGGGCUUUAUGAAAGAAAGGAUAAAAACUGGCUUGACCAUAGAGAAGAGAGAAACAUAUUCUGGUGUGAUAAAUGAAGACAGUUUUGAAAUAUUCCACCUCAACAAACUUAUAAACCUCACAUAUUCUAAAACCAGGAUCCUAGCCUAAACCCAUAGAUAAUAAACCAAAUAAAAUGUAAAGAGAUGCAUACCAUAUGUCUAAUAGCCAUAUCCAGAGAUUUCUUUGAGAGUGUUCUUCCAAAGCCAGAGCUGUCCGGGGAUGAAGCCAACUUCCCAGACAAGUUACCACGAGGAGAAUGUUUGUCUUCUUGCUUAGGGGGGACCAGUUUUCUCAUAUUUAUCACCCUUUCAACCAUUUUUGUUCCAAUUAAAACAGGGCUUACAUUGUCACUAACUUUUGAAAGCCCACGGCUCACUGCAGGAACUGAGCUUCCACUGGUAUGAAUAAUGCCAUUGGGAGGACGACCUCUUGCUGGAGAGCAUGAUUGCCGCCUUGGCCUUCCAUUAGGAGCAGCAUCAACAGAAGAAGAUCGAGCAAUAGGUGCACUAGGCCUACCCCUUGAGGCCGAAACUGGCCUUUCAGGAGCUGAUGUCCUUAAAUUUGGAGGAGCAUCAAGCGAGUAACCAGGCAUCUCCAAUGGCUUCCAUGGUCUGGACUUCACAGUUGGGGAACUCCCACGGGAUGGCACUGGGUUUCUUGAUGUAGCAGGACCUGAUUUUGUGACUGACGAAGUAGAUUUAAUUGGAGGAGCAGAUAAAUUUGAUACACUUGAAGGUGUAGAGGGUCGACGAGUUGGUGUCGCAGCCCUUGAUACAGGCUUGGAUGCCGGAAUGGAGGGCCUGGAUGUUGGCGUUGAAGAUCUUGCUGUAGACCUGGUUACAGGUGUAGAUGAUCUUGCAGGAACUGUGGGCUUUGUUGAAGUUAGGGUGGCCCGAGAAGUAGGUGUUGCUGGUCUUGAAGGUCUAGUUGUGGCAGUCAAUGUCGGACGUCCAGUUGGUGUUGCAGGUCUUGAUCCUGGACCCCCUGAUGAUGAUGGCCUGCGGAUUCCUGCACUUGAGGAAUUCAACCCAGGGGAGGAAGCUGGAUGUUUAGAUACUAAGCUGCUCCUUGCAGCAGGCUCUGGCUGGGGGUUUGCUAACUAUAACCAAAAUAUACAAACAACAUGAGUUCAUGACUUUGGGAGAAUAAGAGCCCAGAAAUUCCUAAACAUUAGAUAUUAGAACAGAAACACUUUUUAAGCAUCUCAUUAAACAGAAUUGAACUGUUGAGAAGAAGUAUUAUUGUUUUUAUGGGAACUCAUUAACAAUUCUUGACUCCAUGUUAGCUGAGAUUAUAAAGACUCUUAGAAUACUUCUUGCACUUGGUGGUUCAAAGGAACUGAGCCUUGUUCAAAUGAUAGUGAGAUAGUGUAAAAUUCAAAAAGAACUGAUGUAGUUGAACUUGGUAUAUCAAUGUUAUACAAUUUAAAGAUGUAAUAGCAAGUUUACCACACGAGAAAGAUGAGGAAACAAUUUUUUUUCUUAAGUUAAGUAGUUAGUCAUUUUUUCUUUUCUGUUGAGGGCUUCCUGAAAACCAAUAUCCUAUUAGACCAAUACAAUAUCAAACUACUAAUUUCAUCCAAAAUUUUUAGCCAUUAGAUAAGGGUAAGAAAAUGUAAGCAAUUGAACCAAUAUCAUUAAUAGAGUCAGCCCUUGGGGCCUAGCUCAAGUGGUAAAGGGUUGGGGUGGAUUUGUAGACAUUCCAAGUUCAAGUGCCAGUGGGGAUAAAAAAGGAAAAAAGAGGGGAAAAAAUGUUUUACCUAUCAGAAAAAAAAAACUUGUCAUAAUUUCUUUAUUUCUUAAGAUUGAUGUUUUCAUAUUUGUGCCUCUCAAAUGAUAUAUAAAUGCCAUUAGACGCUAGUGAACAAGGACACUUAUCCACCAUAAGAUUUUAAAUUAAAGCUCUUACUCUAGAUUUCAAUGCAGUGGGGCGAGCUUUAGGGGUUCCAAUCCGACUCAUAACAGUUUUCUGUGAUUCCAUCUCCAGGGAAGGAAAAAGAGGAGUGCCAGGAGGUGUUAGAAGCCUGAAAUAGAAGAGAAUAAUAAUGUCACCAAGUUAGGAAACAAGGUUUUGAACCUUAUGCAUCAAUGAAAACCACAAACAAUACAGCACCCCCAUGAAACAUCAGCAGUAUAGGCAGAAAAUCCAGAAAAAAAGCUUUAUUCUGUCAUGCAUUGCCACAAUUAAAAUUCUACUGCUAGUACAUGUUUAAGAGAUGAUAAUAUGCUAAAGAUAUCUUGCAAACCAUUCAUUCAUUUAUUUUGUACAGCUGAUUGUGUGAUAUCUAGUGUUGAACAAAUAUCUAGAUCAUUUGUUUGUCAGAUGUAAUACAUGUUGAAACCAGAUUUGUGUGGAUCAGUAGAACUGCUAAAAAAUUUGAGGGCCAGUCACUUCUCAUGGGGAGCAUGGGAAGUAAUACAGGGAUGUCUUUUUCUUCUUUAACACCACACAUAUCUGUCUGGUGUGCGGGGUGUGUGCAUGCAUAUGUGUAAAUUAGAAGUGUGAUGAUCAAUAGUAAUGACAAGAAUCUUUUAAUUCAGUCAAGGAACCAGUGACAUUGGACUUAGGGAGAUUGGGUUUAAGAAUGUAAAAGAGAUCCACUAAGAGAAACCAUGGAUUCUGUCUUUUGUAGUUUCCAAGAGUACCAGCAGAUGAUUAGAAACACCCUUGUUAGCAGUAUCAGGAUCACAGUAACUUUCCCAUUGUCACUGUCAUUAGUUUUGCAUGCCAAUUGUCUUCUGUAACAUGCCUCAUCCAGUUCCAUAACUGUGCUCGACAAUAAAAGGGCUUACUGGCAGGGUGAUAAAUUUAUCAUUUACCACCUAAAUUUUCAAAUACAACAUCCAACACAAACCCAGUACAAACAUGAGGAUCAAAUUUUAUUUUCUAGGAGAUAGUUUUGAUUUGAAAGAAAUAGGAACCAACUAUCCCACCAUGCCUCAUAACACUAAUUUUCAAGCUAAUUUUGAUAAUCAUCCCAACCUAUAAACAACAAAUCUAUUCAAAUAGAUCAACCUUAAACUCAUAAAAAGUAAUCUAAGAGAUGGUACUACGUUACCAGUCAUAAUCAUUUUUAUCAUUGUCAGAAUUCAGGAAAUCAUCUGCAACAGUUUUACGUGGAGGGGGUGAUGGUGCAAUGUUGAAUAUGGGAGAACUGCCCGGUUUUGCUCCUGCAAUUGAGAAAUUGAGAAACAAAAUAAAAAACUUAAUCUCAAUGCCAAACAGCGAAGAGAAGAAUUCACAACAUAACUUUCAUGCACGUUGAUUAGAAAUAGCUGCAAAUUUGGUAUAUAUUUCAAGAAUAUGAUGAAAUAAAAAGCAACGGGUUAAAGUCCAAUAAAAGAGACAAUAAUUCCAAAUCAAUUAUCAUCAAUUUGAAGAAGCGAAGGCCACAAAACAUCAGAUAGAAACCUUGAAACCCAAAACCAACAAAAGGAUUCCACAAAUCCGCACCUAAUGGAGCAUCAAACUCUUCCGAAUCCUGCAGAAGGAGGAGGUGACUCCGCUCUUUCUCGCGUUUCCGCAUCUCAAGAAACAACGCCAGCUCCUCAUCCUUCUCCUUCAUCACCGACGACCUCAAACUCCCCACUUGCUGCUGCCUCUGCCUCACCGUAGCUGACAUUUGCGAUUCCUGAGCCCUAAAACUCCGAUUCAUUGCCAAAUCUAAACUCCACCAACACCAAAAAUAGCUAGUAGACGAAGAAAAACACCCAAACAACCGAAUCUUCAACCAAAAACCUAACUUCUCCUCCACGUAAACAAACGCAACCACAUCCACCCAACAAGAAUCCUCACACUCCUCAGAAACCUAAAUCAACACAUACAGAUCUGAAAUCGAGCUCCAAAUUUGCGAAACUCCAAGCCGCAGCUCAGCACAAAACACAUCAGCAUUUCGCCUUACUCUCCAUGAAUCAAACCAAAAACCAAAAACCAAAAACCAGAAGGAAAGAACUCAACAAAACCGAAACCUAGAGAGAGGAGCAACCGGCAUUGUUGAAACCUAGAGAGAGAAAGACGCCAUUGUUAAAGAACGAAGCUGAAGUCUCGAGAGAGAAAGAAACAGAGAUCACAGUAGAGAGAAGAUGAAGAGAGAGUGGCAUUUAAUGUUAUUUAGGAGUUAUUUGAGGUCCGAAUCCAAAAUGAGGAACAGGAAGCGAGGGAGACCAGGUUUUUCAGGGGAAGUUGGGAAUUUAUUUUUUUUAUUUUUUAUUUUUUUAUUUUUUGAGAUUUCUUUGAAAGCGGACAACUAUUACUGCAGCUCUCGCUCUUUCUCUCACUUAAAGGCUACGCUUUCACGUUGUUCCUUUAGGUGGAUAAUCACGGGUGGGGAUUUUGCAGUGGUGCCCCUCCACUUUUGCAUAUCUCCAGUUUAACCCCUAAUUUGAUUUCUUCUUCAAAGAGAGAACUCAGGCCUUCAAAUGGAACAAGAAUUUAAAAAAAUGGAGACACAUAUUUAUUGAAUCACCGACCACGUUGAAUGAAUUCCCAUGUCUUCUAUCCUCUAAAUUCUUGUCAUUUUUCUGUAUUUUGAUGAUAUUAAUGGAAUUUAUAUUUUAUAUUUUUCUAAAAGGAUUUGCUAUGACAAUGAACGUAUGAUUUUGGGGUCUAUAUAUAUUCUUCAUUUAAUUUCAAUUCCGACUCCUACAACCUCAUAAUUCCAAACAACCAAUUUUAUUAUUAUAUGUAUUAGGUGAGAAACUAAAUAAUUUAUGAUAUUAAAUUUGUAGUUAAGAAAAGUAGUGUCAAACAAAAAGUCUUCUUAUUACAUGACUUUUUCCGUCAAUUCGACUUAGAAAAUACUUUUCUCUUUUGUCUAACCUAGGAAAUAAUUUUUAUAAGUCAUGAAAUUAAAAAACAGUUAUGAAUGGAUUUGGACUUUUUUUUUUUUUGUUUAAUUCAAACUAUUCAGGCUUUAUCUUAUGUAUAUAAAAUCCUCAAAUUAUUCAAUUAUGAAUGAAAUUUAACAAGUAUUUGGUUAAAAAAAUAUAAAAUAACUCUUAAAUUGUGAUUUUAAUAUUUUCUAUAUUUAAAAAAAAAAAAAGACCAAUUUUUUACUAUUUCAAAUAUUUAUAAAUAGGUUUUUUUUUUAAAAAAAGGUUAUUUUUAUAAGAAGAUAAUGGGAACAUUUUUACCUAAAUAAGGCCAAAAAAAGGUAAAAUAUUAAAUUUCAAAAUUUAGGUUUUUUAAAACCUUUUUAAUCAAAUAGCCCUUAAUUUAAUUUUAAUUUUUAAUACAUAUAAAAUAUUAUUUUUUUAAUAAAAUAAGUUAUGCAAAAUGAAAAUGCAAUUAAAUUUUUUAAUAUAUACAUAUAAAAAAAAUUAAGCCAUGAAGGCAAAUAUAAGAAAUUCUGAUGUGGACCUUGUCUUAUUUAUUUAUUUAGAGAUGAAAUGCUAAUUAAUUUAUACAACUAGAAUGGGUUUGGGUCAUCUCCAAGACUCAAACCAUCCUAAUGCAUCCCAAUAAUGAAGGUGGGCGAGUAUUUAUAUACAAAUGAUGUAACAUAAUUGUCACGUAUGUCCUGUUUACGUGUAUUUUACGGUACGUUAGCUUAGAAGGGGAAAUAACAUAACAUUGCAUUUAUGUUGGGAUUCAUAAUUUUAAAUUACAAGGAAGAAGAGAAAUUGUAGAUCAAGCAUCCCUUUCUGUCAAGAAUGGAAAUAGAAAUGGAAUCUAAUUCAAUAACUGGCAACUGCCACCAAACCCAAAUCACCCUCCUCCCUUUUUUAGUAUAAUGAUGCCAGGUUGACUCCUCGACACAAAAGAUAUGGAAACAAAGGCCAUGCCUUAAGGGUCAUCUUACUUCUACCUUAACCAUGAGAAUCCGGAUUUAAAUCAAUUCUCACCCGUGUCAACAAAAAAGUUUUACACAGGGUGAUGAAAAGCAUAUAAUAGAAAAUUCUGAUACCUGUCUCCUUUAAAUCUUUUUAUUUUUGUUUCAAAAAUAUUUAUUUUUUUAAUUUCUUUACUUUUCAAAUUUUAAAUUAAACAUAAUUUAUAACUAAAUAAAUAUUAUAAAUAUUUAUAUAUUUAUAAAGAUGAAAAUGAAAAAAAAUCGUUAAAAUAAUAUUUAUUUAAUAUUAUAUAUAAUUAUAAUUGAGCCAAUCUGAAACAAAAUCAUAAGCACAACCCUUAAAUUCAUUUCAAACUUGUUUAUAUUUAUUUCAACCUUGUCGAAUGGGUGUCAUGGAUACCUGAAAAAAUUGGCCUAUUGUUAUCCCUACUUCUACCCUCAAUUUGAUAUCCCUAUCUUUCCCAUACCAAAUAAAAAUAAAAUUUAACUAAUGCGUUUUUAUUUUGUCACAUGAUUCAAAUUAUUUUUCUAAUAUGAUAAGGUUUAACUUAUUAUACUCCUGUUUGAUGGGUUCAAAUUGAUCAAAACUUUUGAUAAUAGAGAAUAAAAACAUUUUAUACAUAUUUAUAACCCAAAAAUGGAUUAAUUAUUAUUAUUAUUAAGAAAAGACUAAGGAAGAAGAUGAGAAAAAGAAAAUAAUUUUAACAUUGAGAAAAAAAAUUAAAAGGGAAAACUUAAAUUAAGGUAUUUAUUUUACUAAAAAUGGGAAUGAUGGACAACAUUUUCAAUUUAGAAACUAAGAACGGAUUUUAAAAAAUAAAAUUUUAUUUUAAAUCAACUACUAAAAAUAGUUUUGUGGAUAUUAUUUACAAAGAAAAACUUAAAAGUAUUUUAAAAUUUUUCUCAAAAAAUCUAAAAACGCUUGAAAUUUAUAUUUGAAAAAAACAACAUAUUUUUAUUUAAAAUAAGAAAUUAAGAAUUGAAGAAGAGUUGUAAUAAUGAAAAUGAGGAUUAUUCUUAGAAUAUCGGAGCUCAAGGAAAACACAUUAAAAUAUACUAAACUAGUAGCGAUUAUGUACGCAAGUUGCGGGAGUCUUGAGUCUGUCUACCCUGCGGUGGUAUCUGUGGGCGAACGCCGAGGUCCCAGGACAAUCAGAGGAGUUUUACGACACCCUUUCUCCUGGAAACGCCCGGCUGACUCUGUGACGAAUGGUUAAUGGCGGGGAAGACGAGGAACGAGGCAAGCAGUAGCAGAAGUGGGGGCGGUGGGAGUAACAGAGGCGAAAGCGUGGUGGUGGAUGUGGGCAGGCGGAGAAGCACUUGUGGGUAUUGUAGAUCCGGUGCUCGCACCAGUAUUUCUCAUGGUCAGUGUCUCUGAUGAGUCCGAUCGCUUGGUCUCUCUGGGUUUGUUUUUGUUCUGCUGGGUUUUGGUUUUACCGAUUCAUUUCUUCAUUUUGAUUGACUGGUUGUUUCGUUUGUUUGAUUGACUGAUUGAUUAUUCUGUUGCUGGGGUUUUCGAUGGUGUCUGCUUGAAUUCUAUUUCAUGGUUCUGUUGGUUGAUUGAUAGGAAGGAGAUGAAUUCUGUUGCUGAACGUGUGAAUUGAAGUCAAUGAUCGGAUAUUAGUGUUUUCGAUUAUUAAAAUUGAGAUGGUUUUAAGGGGUUUGUGAAUUCAAUUAGUAUAGGAGCUUCUGAAACUUAUAGAUUCUACUCGCCCAAAGUAAGUAGAGCUUUGUUUUAGCUGUCAAUGUUGAGGGGUUCUGAAAGUCGGAUGGUAUUGAGGGGUUUUAUCCCCUCAAAGGGUGGUUCCAAUGUUGAACAACGGGUUGAAUUGUGUGUCGGGUUGGAUAGAUGGCGGUGAAGUUUGGUUCUUUGUUGAAAUGGUUCUUGUUUUUGUCUCAGUGAAAAUUCAUUGAAUUGUUUAACUCGAGUGGCAUCCUCGGGGCAAAACCCCAGGAUUGUAGUCCAUUUUCUUCUUUAAUGUGAUAUUAGCAUUUCUUAUGUUUUAGUUCAUUAGCCUGAAUUCCAAUGUUAUGUGGAAGGUUCCUGAUGAGGAUGAAUAUUCAAGAUAUAUAUCAAGAAAGGGAAUUAGUAUUAGUUGUAAUUAAAGUAGGAUUAUUAUUACUUGGAAUUAAAUUAGGAUUGGUAUUUGUUGGAGUCUAAUUAGGAUUAGCUAGUUGAGUUAUAAUAUAAUUAGAAUUUGAGUCAUGAUAGGUUAUUAGAGUCCUAGUAGAAUAGGUUAUUAGAGUCCUAGUAGACUUUGGAUUUCUUAGAGAAGCCUAUAAAUAGGCUAAUCAAUGUAAAUCAAAUAAAAUGAACUUUGAUGAAUAAUAUUAUACGUUCUUUCAUUGCAAGGUUGCAACCCUCAAUGGUGAGACUCCAUUGAUUUUCUUCUAGGUGAGACUCCUAGAAGGCCUUAGUGAGACUCUAAGGUUUUCCAUCUUUUCUUCAUUAUUUCUUCUUUCUCUCUAUUUCUUAUCUUAUAAUUUUCUCUACCAUAAAGUUUAUUCCUUGUUCCUCUCCUUACACCCUAAAAAUAAAACCCUAGCCCACCUACCCUUGAGUGUAGGCAACCAUCCUAGGGUUGUCCUACAUCAGUUCCCCAAUUAAUUAGAGCAAUUCUGAAAUGCUUAUAUAUAUAUAUAUAUAUAUAUAUAUAUAUAUAUAUAUAUAUAAUUCUCAAACACUAGCAUAAGUUCCACUGUUCUCUUUCUCUCUCCCUUACUCACACGCCUGUGCAUUCAUGUAAAAAUAUUCAUAUUAACUAUUUGAGGGCUAAAAAAAGGGUGAGUUCAUCUAUGAAAAGUUUAAAUUUCAUUUACAAAUGACUGACUGUUAGGACAUUGACCAGUGGAAGUAGUUGUUACACUUUUUUUUUUUUUUUCUUUUUUGGCUAUCCAUGUCUAUGUAUCAAUGCAAAUAAAAGUUUAGACAUCAAUUUUUUUCCCACUUGAUUUUGCAGGUUUAUGGGCACAUAGCAUUACAGUUGAUGACUACCAAGGUUGGCAACUUUAACUUCUUGAUAUAUCUUGUGAAAUUGACAAUUAUUAUGUGUGAUCACCAAAUAUGGAAAUUCCUAUAAUUGUUUGGAGAUGAGAUAUCAACAUACUUUAUCAGUCUUAGCCAGUGCAUUGGGGAAAUAAAGAUUUGGACAAUGGUAUAUGGAAUUCUUGGUCUACCUGACAACUGGAAUCAAAGUUUUGUCGUAUCUUGGAGAAAGUAGUUGAUAGUUGAAAUAUAAUAUGUGGACUUGGAGAAAGGUACAACUAGAUUCCAGUAAUUGAACAAAGAACCAUUCACUAAGAGGGUGUUUGGUAAAUCUACUUAAUAACUUAAUAUGGCUUAAUGACUUACUUCAAGUUAUUAAGCAUGUUUGGUGAAGUAACUUAAUAUUGUAACUUAAACUUAAAAAUGACUUUGAUUAAUCAAUUUAAUGACUUAAUACAACUUAAUAACUUGAACAUAAUUUAAUUUAAAGUCAUUUUAAGUUAUUAAACAUUAAGUAGUAAGUUUUAUCAAAUACCCUCUAAGUCACAAAAAUGUAAAUUAGUUGAAAUUAGCUGAGCUGCAAUGUUGAUCAGGCAAAUGCCCAUGGCAACUUUACAAGUUGUAGAACCUGAACUAAGGGGAUGUUGGAUAAAAUUAAAUCAAAUAAAAAGCAAUCAUGGUGAUGGAAGGGAAACGUUUUCAACCCAUGCUUGCAUAGUUGUUUAGCAUGGCGAAGCAAUUUUCUUUCUUUGCUGGUUUUACUGAGUCAUGUCUUUCUUUCUUUUCUUUCUGGCUAGGGUAAACUAGAGUAAUGCUGUUCUUUUUCUUUGUAAACAUGAUUUGUCGGCCUGGGCAAUUGCGAUGUUUAUAAAUCACUACUAUUUUCUUAUAGAGUUUUUGGUUUUCUUAGUUCUGUAACUAAGAUGGAGCAUUGGGAGAAAAAACUGUAGUAAGCGUCAAUUUAAAUGUUUUAUAGUUUUUUUUUGUGCUAUAAUUUAUUUUGAUUUUCCUAUUUCAACUUUAAUGCUCUGGAAGAUCUUCUUGACCGAGGUUGGAGAAGAUCUGGCUCAUUCCUUUACAAACCCGAGAUGGAAAGGACAUGCUGCCCUUCUUAUACUAUCCGUCUGAGAGCAGAUGAUUUUGUUCCUUCUAAAGAGCAGCUUCGAGUUUCUAAACGAAUGCAAAGGUAUUGUUAUGAAUACAUCCUAUUCCUUUCUUGUUUGUUGAAUUGGUUGUCAUAUUUUUAUGGAAUCACCUGAAAGACUGCAUUAUACCAUACUGAUGAGAUUGCUUUUUCACGUGGAAGUUGUAGGGCUAGCGUAGAUUGUGGGCUAGUUGAGACCACAUACUGAAUGUUUAAUGAAUUAGCCCCUUUAAUGUUGCCAGAUCAUUCUGAAUAUUAGCAAAAUGUAGUUCUGCUUUCUUCUGAAUUCAGUUCAUAUUGAGUACUAACAGCAGAAUUACUUUGCCUAGGUUUCAAGAUGGAACUUUGAGUGUGAAAAAACAAGAUAAAAUCAAUGAUGGGCCUAAAACUUCAAAGAGUUCAGGCAGCAGUAUCCAUCAUGAAGUUUCAGGCUCAGCAGCAAAGGGGACAUUGGCUGGUAAGGAUGAAGAGAAGAAUAAGGUGGAAGCAUUUAUGCAUUAUUUGUCAGACCAAAUUGAUAAUGCAGUAUGUGCAUGCACUGAAAGCGGGGAGUUCCUUUGUGACAUCCAAUUACCAAAAGCUUCUGUCAAAAUGGUUUUGCCAGCCAAAAGAAAACUACAAGUGGAAGGAUCAGAAGAUCUUUUAUACUCCAGCAACAUUUCAUUUCAGAUAGCAGCCACUUUAAGGAGGGCACAAUCAGCUGAGAAGGAUGUGCCCCAUUCAAAGUUGUCAAGACAUAAUGCGGAAGAAGAUGUGUCAUCUAUUGCAUUUUUACCAAAAACCAUUGCAGAAAAGUUGGCCAGUUCUUUAAAUCAUAUGGCGAAAGUCUCUGGUAUGUUGAUAAGAGCUUGCAAUGGGCACAUUAAUUUCUAUUCUGCUAGAAAAGGUAAUUUUCUGAGUGAAGGGAUUCAAAUAGUUAAUGGUGCUAAGGAAUCCCCCACUGGAAGUGGAAGUGAGGGAGGUUGUUUGAAGAAGAGCUCUGAAUGUCCUCAGGGUAAACGACGGAAGCUUGAAAUCCGUCUGAAAAGGUCCAGUUUUGAUCCAGAAGAAUUUGCCUUGUACAGAAGAUAUCAGAUUAAAGUGCACAAUGACACACCCGAGCAUGUCAUGGAAAGCUCAUACAGGAGAUUCCUUGUUGAUACUCCCUUAGUAUUUGUUCCACCAACUGGUGAUGACACGGUUCCCCCUUGUGGCUUUGGCUCUUUCCAUCAGCAAUAUGUGAUUGAUGGCCGGCUAGUUGCUGUUGGUGUCAUAGACAUCCUUCCUAGAUGUUUGUCAAGUAAAUAUUUAUUCUGGGACCCAGACCUAGCUUUUCUAUCACUAGGAAAGUACUCAGCCCUGCAAGAAAUAGGUUGGAUAAAAGAGAAUCAAGCUCAUUGUCCAAGCCUUGAAUACUAUUAUCUUGGCUAUUACAUUCACUCUUGCAGCAAGAUGAGAUAUAAAGCAGCAUAUCGCCCAUCUGAGCUUCUCUGUCCUCUUCGUUACCAGUAAGUUAUUUUUCUGUCCCUGGCAAUAGACUUAUGAUUUUAUUUUUCUGUAGCUAAUUUAUAUAAUCGACUAGCAUCCAAGUUCCGGGCUCAUGUAGUUAUGUACCCCAUACCUAGAGGCAAGGCACUUACUUAUGCAUCACUUACCAUGAAAUGGCCCCUGCUGGAGAAAAUUUAAAAUACCUGAUAAUCAUCAUGCUUGGACAACAUUGGACUCCCUAAUCAAAUUAUCCUUAUCUGGCAUUUCUCUUUUCAGGUGGGUUCCAUUUGAUAUUGCCAGGCCUUUACUUGAUAGGCAGCCAUAUGUUGUCUUGUCAGAUUUUGCUGUCUUACAAAAUGGAGAGUCCACACCACAUGUUCCUGAAAAUCUCAUGGAAAUGCAACAUAAUGGCCUUAAUGAAGAAGAUGCAAAUGACAUUGAUGAUGAAGAAAUGGACGAUGCUGAUUUUGUGAAUUCUGAUGAUGAAUCAGAUUCAGAAGCCAAUGGUCCAACAUCAGUUGAAAUAGAAGAUGGUGAUGUUAGUAAUGUUUUGAUUGGAUUGAAACGAUCCUGUGUGAGGUUCAAGGUAUGUUUACUCAAUCCUCUGAAACGAUCCUGUGUGAGGUUCAAGGCAUGUUUGCUCAAUGCUCUGAAGCAAGGUAAACCCAAAAGGGGAUGGAAAACAAAGAAAAAAUAGUUGGUUCUCUAUCUCUGUUGCAGUUCUUUUUUCUGGGGAUUCCAGUUUCUCCCAAGGAUGCCCCAUGCCAAAGUUCUGAUUAAUCAAACUGUUCCAGGGUUGGAAUUUGGAAAAUGGUCAUCUGGGCCAAUGUAGGAAGUCCACACUUGCUCCCCUCAUGUGUUACUAUUCAUUGACCUGCCUUGAAAAGAUUCAAAAUAUAAGAAAUGCUACAUAGUUCAAAACUUCCCUUUUUUCUCAUUUGUCACUGAUUUCAUUUUAAUCCUUUUGUUUGAAGGAUCUGCAACAUGCUUUUGGUCCCAGUGAACGUGCUUACUUGGAAACACAGUUGCGCAGAUACAUGAGGGCUGUGGGUGCUGAGGUCGCUGGUCGAAUGGUUUAUUCCCUGGGGUGACUGAUUCUGUUUCUCAGAAGUCAGAUGAAUAUUCCAGAGAGAUUUGAAUUGCUGUCCAAAUCAUCUGUGGUGAUCAAAUUGGAGCUGAAAGGAAACUGCUGCAGAGUUAUUCAUUUCUUGGAUUCAAAAUUAUUUUUAUUUGCUGGAUUAAAUGAACUGGGAUUUGGAUGAGUGGUCUGGACUCUGAAUUUUUUUGUAGAUACAGAUUACAGGAUACAUUCUCAUCCAUGUUGGGAAAAUAAACCUACUUUGCCCUUUUGAAAUGAAAAUGGAAUACAUCUCCAACAAGUUUUACCUUUUAAAUUUUUACGACUUCCAGCUCUUUGCAGAUGUCUGAUCCUUACAAUGUAGCCCACGUUAUAUUUGUAUUAGUUCAUAAUCCACAUAGCUUCGAGGAGCAUCUUUGCUGGAUACUUGCCAUAAGGAGAGCCAGUCUUUACUAAUUUUCCUAAAAACAUAAGCAUGGAUGUUCAUUGCCUUUAGAUUUCCAAUUAUUUCGAGGCCUUAUAUCAUGUUAAAUAACCAAUUUGUCUAAAACUUUAAGCUGUAAAGGGGACUUGAAGAAUGAGGUAUUUAGAAAUGCCUGACUACUCGCACAAAUCUCCCACUUGUCCAUUGCUGACAAAUUUUUAUUCACAACAAGCCAACCCAGCUUAAUCGAUCACGAGAGUCAACUCACAGCUAACUCUGCCUUGAGCAGUGAUCUUCCAAUUUACUUAAGCAAGUGGAUAAAUUAUAUUAAUUGGAAAUUAGGAGAGAUGUCCUCUGAAGGUGAACCCCUCAAUUUAAUAUAUUGUCAUCUACAUUCAUUGAAAUUUGAACCAGUUUCAUCAUGACUUCAUCGAAAACUAAGAAAAAGAAGUUUAAGUCGAUCAAUUUAUCAGCAAAGUUCAAGUUCGGCGGCAGAGCAUGGACCAAGAAAGAUUAGCCUUGUUUGUGUGUUAGAGAAUAUUUGGGGCUUGGUAAAGACAGUCAUGGCUACACCAAGAGCAAUAUCUACUACCAUCACAAACAUUUGUUAGGCUGAGGAUUAGGUAAUUAUUGGAUGCUUUCUUAGUAAGUUGAAAGCAAUCCAUAGUUUAAUAAUCAGAUAUUCAUAGUUACAGCCUAAUUGAUGUGAGUUUCACUUGAGAUAUGUUUGUGUGUCAAACACGAGUGACUGAUAAAAAGUCUGCAUUCAUUUUAUUGGGGCAAGCUGGGCAAGCCAGGAAAGCCACUCAAAUGAGAAAUUGCCAAUUCCAGAAUCCACGAGUCAAAUAAGAACAAUAGGGGUUCCAAGAAUGUACAUUUUGAAAUAAAGGUUAAUCAUGCGUCAUCUGCAUCACUUCCACCAACAUGAGCUUCUGGAGUGAUCCAGUAGUUGCUUCCAUCAGGACCCGAGACCUUAAACCUGUCCCAUCAGCAAUACACCCAUCUCAAACACUUCAAUUUAGUUUUAUCGUAUCAGGAACAGAUUUUCCUAAAAAUGAGUCUACAUACCGUUCAAGGACAGACUUUCCUUCUUUGUACUUCUGGGCCUUUUCAUGGGCAGUCUCCUGAAAGAAAUCAUUCAAAUAACAAACGGCUACAUUUUGAGAACAUACACAAUUCAUGUUUUAUUUUUGCUUUUGUUUUUUCAAAUAGAUCUUACAUAUCUCCAUCCCACAAUGGAUCCACACCCAACACAGAAUAUGUCAGCAACAGUGUGCAUUCCUGUCAUCAUCAUCCUCUCUUCAUGCACUCCAACAGAGACAUUCACACUGUAAAACAAUGGGAAUCAAGCUCCUAAAUCUGUAAGCAUGUAGACACAAAUAACCCUUUUCUAAUAUGUAAAAACCUCUGUAUGUAACUUGGAACUUGACUUAAUUGCAUCCAUGACAAUCCCUGCUCAUAUUUAGGUCAUCCGGUUAAUUUUAUUACCUGCAGUUCCCAUCAAACUCAUCUCUCCUGUCCUGUUCAGAUAUUUAUAUACAGACUGCAAACAGCAGACUGCUUGAAAGAAUGAUGCCUUAGGGCAACCAGUGGCUAUUCUCUUGCUAUAUGGUCAACAAAUAUUCACAUUACUUCAAAGAAAUUCACAACCUUUUGAAGCUGCAAUAAACUAAAUUUAUCAUUGCACACAAAAACAUAUGAAGUAUGUAGGAAACUAGCAUGUGAAUCUUCAAAUGGAUAGGUACACCGUGAGAAAGAGAUUACUAGCUGAAUUUCAUUGAAAUGUGCAUGCAUAAACAGUAAACUUUUUCAAUGGCAUUACGUUUCACUACCAUUUUAUCACACUGACAAACAUUAGGGUUUUCUGUUCCAUAUAAAGUUGCUCCCAGAAAGUGAUAUUCGGUAUUGACAUAUAAGAAUGGGGUGGCUAAUUAAGGAAAACUUACACCUUAUUGAAGAGAUAAGCUUUUCCAUGCCUGCAGUGGAAAGACUGAAUAAAAGAACACAGGCAAAACAUGCUGUCAGAAUUUUUACUUCCCAAAGACUCCAAUUAACACGCACUGGAGACUGAAAAUGGCAAAAAGAAUGAAAAAUGUAGUAUAAAAAGAACUUCCAAUGAAAACAAUCAUGGAAAUAUAUCCCCAAUAUCACCCCGACCAAGGCCCUUGAAAUUAAAAACAUCAAUAUGCGAGAAGUUUCCUUCUAAUGGGCCCAGGCAAUGGACAGGUCUGUGGUAGAUCAAGUUUAUACAUGGAAAUGUGCAUCCAAUUACAAGGAAAAGAAAUCAUGAUCAAGACGAUAAAAUUUUUUUACGAUAAGAAGAAAAAAACUCAGUGGAAUUCCCAUUGGACUAUUUUGUGCAAAUAAGCUUCCCUGAGUAUGAGGAAAACAUGCAAGUCUUUUUAGGCAAUAAGUCCUUCAAAAAUUAUUAAAAUGCUGGGGCAGUCUUUUCAAUACCAAGGUUUUCAAGUGUACUUGUUCAACAUUAGAGAUCCAAACACAAGGCAUGAACAACAAAUUGACUCAGCAUUGCCCUAACUACUCAGUUUUUGGUAUUAAUGGAGAAUGCCACUGGUCUCCACAGGACCGCAACUUUUCACUUUUCUCACAAUAAAAAGAAAGCACGUUUCAAUGAAUAGCUUUCAUCAUUUCUUCAACAAUUUUCAAGGUCAUAAAAAAAGGUAACAACUCUAAUCUCUAACCCGGUUGAAACGGAAACAUCAAUUCUGUAUUGGAGACCUAGAGAAAAAUCAAGACUAAGUAAUUGAAACAAGAUGAUAACAUCCAAAAAUCACCAAAAGAACAGAGCUAUGACAUCCAAUUAGCUUUCGAGUCAAAGAGUUUCAUCACUAGCCCUGGGAACUAACAACAGACAACACAAAUUUUUUCAUGAAAAUUAACACAAAAGAAUUACUAGAUCUUAAAAACAACUCAAUCACACCAUAAUGGAGCAAUUAAAAUGAGAAUUUGCCAUAAAAAAAACGAGAAAACCCUAAAUGGGGUAUCCUCAGUUUUUUCAUUUCUGAAAUGGUAAAGAAGGGAUCCUCCAAUGAGGCAUCAUAAACGCUCUCGAGGCAAUAAUCCAAAAGAAAACAGAACCCCUGGCCAGAUCCCCCUCUGAAACAAUCUGCAGAAUUACAAAGAAAAACCCAAAAGCCCUUCAUUCAUCAUAUGGAUCUUCCUUCAAUUCUUCAUCACCAACAAAAAAAUCCUAUCACACCAAACAAAAUUCCCAAAACCCAACAUCUCAAUUCUCAGAACCACAAAUGGCACGCCUACCCAUCAUCAACAACACCCGCAAAAUCAGAACCCAACAAAAACUAGACAAAACAAACAAAGUCAACAAAACCCAACAGAAAAUUUCACAAGACUGAAACAACAAUCCAACUGGGCAAGGAUUUAGGAAGAGAAAAACAACCUUAGAGACGAUGUCCUCACUGAGAGCAAGAUGGGUCCGGCAGUGCUUGCAGCUGUAGAUCUUGCCCUCAAGACUAACCACAAAAAGCCUCCCCAUUUCUCAAUCCACCCACAAUAAUCUACGUGAAGAUGUGGAAGAAGAACCCAACAAAUCAAAGAAUUAGAUGAGAUUUCAGAAAAAAUACGAACAACAAGAUUGGUAAAGGGUGCGAAGAAAUGUGUUGAAUUGUGUGGGAAGUGACGUGAAGGAAUAGGAGAGAGAUGCCUAAGAGAAUCGUUGAAGAUUACCUGAUGAUGCUGCACUGCACUCACAAGAAGGCAAAAAAAAAAAAAAGCUCACAAAUAUAAAACCCAAUUGCCAAUUAUUAUUUGAAUCACCUUUUUCUCUGCAAAAGGGCAACCUGACAAGACGUGUAAUCUUAUAAAAAGAUGAUAGUAUUGCAAGGUAUUAAGAAAUUAAAUUUGUUUUAAAUCUUAUACACGAUAUUGAAAGUUUGAAACACAGGGUAGAUUUGCUCUUUUUUCUUUAAAUAGUUUUUUACGAACAAAACUUUAUUUCAAUAAUUAAAAUAUUUUUAAUAUAUUUAAAAAUAAUAAAGUAAACAAAAAUUUAAAAAACAAUUUUGUAUUAUCAAAUAUAUUUUCCUUUUUCUUAUUUUUUGGAAAAUAAAAAAAAAAUUGUUAUGGGAAAUUAUUGUGACGUGUCUUCUUAACUUUUUGACCAAAAAAAAAAAAGCAUACCACAAAUACCAUCAUUUUCAUUAUAUGAUUAAGUUUAUUAUUUAAUGAUAUGGCAAAUGAUAAUGGGAUUUUAUAAAAAAUAGGGAAACAUCAACUCACUCAUCUAUUGAAGUGGUUAAAGUGGUGUUGAAAUCGAUGAUAUGCUAGUAUUUUCUUUAAAAUAAAAAUAUAUUAAAUAAUCAAUAAAAUGUGAGAAAAAAAAUGAUGGAUGUUUGACCUCAUCCAUAGGAACUAUGCAAAUGAUUUCCCCUUGUGGGUUAGGUAAUAAUAUUAAAAAUAAGAGUGAGACUUGAGACAUAAUAAUUAUUGUCUUAUUGCCUACCCUUCUUUGAUUCUUUUUACCUCAGGCCCAUCAAAAGUAAUGUUUUCCCAUAAUUUUUUAUUAUUGAAUUACUCACUAAUAUAUAUUUGUUUAUUUUAGAUGUCUUCAAAAAAAAAAAAAAUGAAAAAAAUAAAAUAAAAAAUCAUACCCAAUCCUAAUCCAUUCGAUUCUCAAGCUAUUGUAAUAUAGAAGGUUGUGAAAAUUUGGGAGGAGUUUGAAUUUAUUUAUUUUUUCCUUUUUGGGCUCUAUUGGAGCAUGGAGAGGCAAUGACGUCAGCACACCUUGUUUUCAGGUUAAAAUACCCUGCCUUCAUAUUAAUGGGCAGCCCACCACACAAGUUGGAAGAAAAUAAUUCAGAGUGGGCCAAGCAUUAUUAAUUAGGGCCUCUAUUGAUUAUUUUUGGUAUUUUUAUCACCUUGCAUGGACCACUACUUUACUCAUAUUUAGAAAUUUAUUCUCACUCUCAACUCAGGUGAUAUUUAGUUUUUUUUAGAAUUUUAAUAUUUAAUAGUAUUAAAUAUUAGAUUGUUUAUUUUUUAUAAUAUUUUAUUUAUAUUAAUUAUUAAAUAUUAAAAAAUUAAGAAAAAUCAAUAUAUUACUUUUUCUAUUUAGAAAAAGUUAAAUAUUUUUGUUUUUUCUAUUUAACAAAAAAUUUAUAAUAAGUUAUAAAAAAAUGGAAAAACAAACAACCUAAAAUUUAAAAGCAAGUUAUUUUUUCAAUAAAAAGUUUAAAAAAAAAACAAAUACCCUCUAAAACUUUUUAUACUAUAUUUGGUUUCUCAAAACUAUUAAAAAAAAUUAAAAUUUACAAAAGUAAUUAUUUUUUUCUUAAUUUAAAGUUAGCUAGCAUGAAAAAAGAAAAAGGAAAUAAAAUAUUAAAGAAAAUAGUAUAAAACAAAAAUAAAGGCCAGAAAAGUAUAUUCCUUAAUAAUUUAGUUACUUUCUCUAUAAUCAAAUAAGUGAAAAAAACUAUUAUUAUUUUUUAUUUUUUAUUUCAUUAUAUUUUCUUUCUCUCAAACUUUUUGAACCAAAUAUAAUAAAAUAAUUCUUCUUAUUUUUCUUUAAAAAAAAUGAAAAAUCCAUUUUUUUGACAUUCCUUUCUUAACUUUUUUUUGUGGACAAUAGAACAAGAGAUUUUAUUAUUUAUUUAUUUAUUUAUUUUUAUCUUUUUCCUUUAUAUAUAUAUAUAUAUAUAACUUAAAAAACAACCUUUGAAGGUGUUUGAUAAUUUUAUUAAGAGUGUUCAACUAAACUAAAUGUCCAAAUCAUAUAAUAAACAUGUAGACCUUUUCAACUCCUUAGCGAAAGAAUUUAUUUAACAUUUAGGAACGAUUAAAAACAAAGUAUGAUUUUUGUAAUUUACCCAAAAACAAAAUAAAGCAACGUAUCCAAAUGGGCCAAAGACAACGUCCAUGGGCCUUGGAAAGCUAGGGGUGGAGCCCAAAAAUCAAAUUAUGCGGAAGUAGAACAAGUGAAAGAGAGUGGUGGAAUGACCCAUCAAAACUAUUGUAGCCCAUGGACUAAUGAUGGUCCUCAUCUUCAUAUCACCAUCAUUAUGAUUCAUAACAUGGCCAAAACACCUGUCCAAACAUCGCACUCCACGUCAACCCUUUUCACAAGUAGGUGGUGAUUAAGAACCUUAGUUUAUUGAAUUUUUUUUUAUAAAGCAUUCUGUGGUUGAUUACGUAGGGGAUUGCCUCCUUUGAUCACUCAAUAAGCUUGAUUUAGUUGGAUUUUUUUCAUCUCUAAAAGAUUAGUUCUCAUUAUUUUUUUUGUCUCCAGGCUUUAGUUCCUAACUCAUCUGGUGUAAAAAAGAGUGGUUCCAUUGAUUUUAAGAAAAGAAAUUAACCAACCCGAUUAAUAUGAUUGGUUUAUACUUGAUCAAAAUUGAACCGAUAAAAAAAAAAAGAGCCAAAUCAAGCUUAUUAAAGAUUGGAUUGAUUUGGUUUAAAUCAUCAAUCGAAUGCAAGUUAGUUUAGACCUUUAAGUCAAAUCUAUUUUGAAAAGUUACUAAUCCAACCAAAUGAAGGAAAAACCAAAAGGUGACUGAAAACAAAGAACAAAUAGUUGGUUCACUACUCUGUUGCAUUUGUUUUUUCCGGGAAUUCCAGCUUCUCCCCAAAUAUGCUCCACUCAAACGUUGUGCAUUGAAUUAAGUAGGAUUUAGAUGAAUUGUCUGGACUCUGAAUUUUUUUUUUUUUGUUUUGUAGAUACAGAUUACAGGAUACACUUUGACAUUUUCAUCCAUGUUGGGAAACUUUAACUUACUUUUUGCCCUCUGAAAUGGAAAUGGUAUAAAUCUCCAACAACUUUACCCUUUAAAUUUUUACAACACAGAUCUUUGCAUGUCUGAUUCCUUGGAAUAUAGCCCACAUUAUAUUUGUAUUAGUUCAUAAUCCACAUAGCUUCAAAGAGCAAGUUAACUGUAUACACCCACAGGGAGGCAUAAGAUUAAACAACUAAUUUUCCUAAAAACAUAAGCAUGCCGUCACACACCCAUAUCACAUAUCUAAUUAAUUGGCAGUUUGAUAUCAUAUUAAAUAAUCAAUUUUCCUAAAAAUUUAAGCUGUUAGAAUUUGGGCUCAAAAUAUAGGACGAAAAACACGAGCCAUAGUAACAGCAGACGAAUCAUUUUCUUUUUCUUUUUUUCCUUGUAAUCACAGUAAUAAGAUAGAUAAAUGGAUGAGGGAGGACUCAAAGAUUGAAGACUUCAUCUUUAGUCGAUCUUGCAACAGUUCAUAUCAAGCCAACCAGCUUAAUCACAGCAGUCAACUCAUACCUAACUCUGCUUUGAGCAGUGAUUUUCACAAUUUAUUUAAGCAAGUGGAUGAAUUAUAUCAAUUGGAAAUUAGGAGAGAUGUAUUCUGAAGGUGAACCCCUCAAUUUAAUAAGCUCUCAUCUACAUCAAUCCAACCAGUUCCACCACCACUUCAUUAAAAACUAGGAAAAAUAUGUUCAAGUCAAUCAAUUUAUCUGCAAAGUUCCAAGUUUGGUGGCAGAGCAUUGACCAAGAAAAGAUGAACCUUGUAUGCGUGGUAGCAAAUUAUUGGGGUUUGGCAAAGACAGCCAUAGCUGCACCAAGAGCAAUAUCUAACAUCACAAGUAUUUGUUAAGACUGAGGAUUAGGUAAUAGCUGGAUGCUUUGUUUAGUAAGUUGAAAGCAACCCAUCUUUUAAAAAUCAGAUAUUCACUGCUAUAGCCUAAUUGAUGUGAGUUUUACUUGAUGCUAAUUCAUCCUUCAAAUUGCAAACCAAGCCUUAAGGUAUGCUUGUAAAUCAACUACCAGAAUGAACAAUAUAAAGCCUGCAUCCAUUUUAUUAGGUCAAGCUGAGCACAAGCCAGGAAAACCACUGAAAUGAGAAAUUGCCAAUUCCAGAAUCCAAGAGUCAAAUAAAAAUGGUAGGGGUUAAAAGAACGUACAUUUUAAAAUAAAGAUCAAUCAAGCGUCAUCUGCAUCACUUCCGUAGUUGCUUCCGUCAGGGCCCGAUAUCUUAAUCCUGUUCAUCAGCAAUGGACAGCCAUCUCAAACACUUUCCACAAAACAGCUUUUCCUAAAAACGAGUCUACUCACCGUUGAAGGACAGACUUUCCUUCUUUGUACUUCUGGGCCUUUUCAUGGGCAGUCUCCUGAAAGAAAUCAUCCUAAUCAGUAACAGCUAUAUUUUUAGAACAUACACAAUUCAUGUUCUAUUUUUUUAAAAAUGUCUCCUGAUCUUACGUAUCUCCAUCCUACAAUGGAUCCACACCCAACACAGAAAAUGUCAGCAACAGUGUACAUUCCUGUCAUCAUCAUCUUCUCUUCAUGCACUCCAACAGAGAUAUUCACACUGAAUGGGAAUCAAACUUUUAAAUCUGUAAGCACAUAGACACAUAUAACCCUCUUUUAUAUGUAAAAUUUCUAUAUAUAACUUAAACUUCACUUAUUUGCAUCCAUGGCAAUCCCUGUUCAUAUUUAGGUCAAUUUUGAUGGGCAACCAAUGGCUAUUCUCUUGUUAUAUGAUAAACAAAUAUUUACCUUAUUCCAAAGAAAUUCACAACGCUGCAACAAACUAAAUUUAUUGUUGUGUACAAAAACAUAUGAUGUAUAUAACUAGCAUGUGAAUCUUCAAAUGGAGAGGUACACAUGUGAAUCCUACUAGCCUAAUUUCAUCGAAAUACCAUAUAUAAACAGUAAAAUUUUUCAAUGGCAUUUAAACAGUAAACUUUUUCAAUCAUUUGUGUUUCUGUUCCAUAUAAAGUUGCUCCCAGAAAGUGAUAUCCGGCAUUAACAUAUGAGAAUGUGGUAUCUAAAAUCAAGGAAAACUUACACUUUAUUGAAGAGAUAAGCUUUUCCAUUCACGGUGUGGAAAGACUGAAUUAAAGAACACGAGAAAUAUUUUGUCAGAAUUUUUACUUCCCAAAGACUCUAAUUAACAUGCAUUGGAGACUGAAAAAUCAAAAUCAAAAUAAGAAACAUAAAAAAUAUGGAAUCAAAAGAACUUUCAAUAAAAACAAUCAUCGAAAUACUCUCCAAUAUCACCACCACACCACUACCAAGGCCUCAACUUAAGCCUGCCUUUGAAAUAAUCAAAAUAGAUAUGUAAGAAGUUUCCUUCUAAUAACCCCAGGCACUGGACAUGUUUGUGCUAGAUGAAGUCUAAACAUGGAAAUAAGCAACCAAUCACAAGGAAAAAAGAAAUCAUGAUCAAGAGAAUAAAAAAAAGUUUAAAAUAAGAAGGAAGAAACUGGGUAGAAUUCCCAGUUCUUUAUUUUGUAAGAAUAAACUUCUCUGAAUUUAAGGAAAUUAUGCAAGUUGGCAAGAAGUUCUUUGAGAAUUAUUAAAAUGUUGCGAGAGUCAUUUCAAUGCCAAGGUAUUCAAGAGUACUUAUUCACCUUUAGAGAUCCAAACACAGAACAAAUACAACAAAUUGACUCAGCAUUGCCUGAACUACUUGGUUUGCUGUGUUGAUGGAAGAUGCAGCCAUUCUCCAUGAGACCACAGCUUUUCAUUUUUCUCACAAUAAAAAGAAACCACGCUUCAAUGAAUUGCUUUUACUGUUUCUUCAACAAUGUUCAAGGUCAUAAAGAUGGGUAAACCUCUAAUCUCUAACCCAGUUAAAAACGGAAAAAUCAAUUCCAUCUUGGAGACCUAGAAAGAAAUCAGGAUUUAGUAAUUCAAACAAGAUGAUGACAUCCAAAAGUCACCAAAACAACACAGCUAUGACAUCCAAUUAGCUUUCAAGUCAAAGAGUUUCAUCACUAGUCAAGGGAACAAACAACAGAAAACACAAAUUUUUUUCAUGAAAAUUAACACAAAGGAAUUACUAUGGAAAAAACUCAAUCAUGCCAUGAUGGAGUAAUUAAAUGAGAAUUUGCUAUAAAAAAGGAGGAAACCCUAAAUGGGGUAUCCUCAGUUUUUUCAUUUCUGAAAUGGUGAAGAAGGGAUUGACCGCUGAGGCAUCAGAAACUCUCCCAAGGCAACAAUCCUAAAGAAAAAAGAACUCCUGACCAGGUCUCCCUCUGAAACCAUCCACAGAAUUACAAAGAAAAACCCAAAAGCUCUUCAUUCAUCAUAUGGAUCUUCCUUUAAGUCUUCAUCACUAAGAAAGAAAUCCUAUCACGACAACCAAAAUUCCUGAAUUCACCAUCUCAAUUCUCAGCACCACAAAUGACAAACCAACUCAUCAUCAACAAUGCCCACAAAAACAGAACCUACACACUAUCCCAACAAAAACUAUACAAAACAAACAAAAUCAACAAAACACAACUGAAAAUUUCAAAAAACUGAAACAUCAAUCCAAUUGCUCAAGGAUUUAGGAAGACAAAAACAACCUUGGAAAUGAUGUCCUCACUGAGAGCAAGAUGGGUCCGGCAGUGCUUGCAGCUGUAGAUCUUGCCCUCAAGAUUGACCACACUCCCCAUUUCUCAAUCCACCCACAACAAUCUAUGUGAAGAUGUGGAUGCAGAACCCAACAAAUUAAAAAUUAGAUAAGUUUUCAGAAAUAAAAAUAAAAAUAACAAGAUUGGUAAAGGGUGUGAAAGAAUGUGUUGAAUUGUGUGGGAAGUGAUGUGAAGCAAUAGAAGAUUCCAAAGGGAAUUGUUGAAGAAUACCGGGUGAUGCUGCUGCACUGCACUUGAGAAGAAAAAUAUAUACAGAGAAAAGCUCUCAGCUCUCAAAUAAACAACCCAAUUGCUAAUAUAUAACCUUUUCUCUGCAAAAGGACAACCUGACAAGAAGUGUACACUAUGGCUUUUUUUCCUUAUUUUAUUAGGGAAAUUAUGCAACCAUACCUUGUUCAAAAAAAUGCAAUAUUUGUAUAGGUGAUCACAAAUGUAUUAAAAGCAUCUACCCAAAGGGUGCACAAAAGUGCACACGGUGUAUAAAAGGUGCUAAAGGCCAAAAAUGCAAAGGGGAACACAAGAAACAACACCCUCACCUUACUUUCAACUCAACCAAACAAUAAGGUCAAACAAAAAUAAGGAGUUAUCUCCUAUGUGCUCCUUAACCCAAUCCAAGAACAUGUACAUAAAAGAUUAUUUAAUUGCUUAAUUCGCUUUCAUGGUGUUUUAAAAAAAGCUCUCCUAUUUCUCUCCUUCUAUAAGGUCCAAAAUAAACAUAAAGGAGUUGCUCUUCACGCUUUCUUUCUUUUCUUUCCCACAAAAGAUCCAUGUCAACUAAGAAGUACAUCUUUAAUUGAGGGCAUCACUCACCGAACGUCGAACAAAGCAAAAAUUAACUACCAUAGCAUGACUGUUUUGGAACAAUGAAGGAGGAUAUGACUGCUUUAAAGAGACUCAUUUUUUAUGAACCCAAAGAUUCCCUUUUCAUAACAAGUGGACAAUAUGAUGAAAGGAUUCCUUAAACUGCAGUCCAAACAGGAACCUGUAUAUAAUUUGCAAUUGCCUCUUCUUAUUUAAGUAGUUUGCCACACAAUCAGGCUUAUGUCAUCCAAGUUGAAAUAUUCACAUAACCCAUUGCCACAUAAGACAAUGCUGCAUGAGCGAUCCAUGUUGGAUUGAAAUGUAAAAAUGAGAAAAAUAAAUGAAAAGAUGAAAAAAAAAAAAAAGAACAAAAAAACCCUAACCCCAAAUGAAAAAGGCGAGGGCUUGCAAAUAUAGACAACAAUCAAAUGUGAGAAAGUAAAAUGGUUAGUGGAUGUUAAGGAUCACUGAAAGUAAACAGGUCGUUGGUGUGUUGUGUUUAAGGAACGGAAUAGACUACUUUAAUUCCUAGAGGUGAGAGAUAACAAAUAUAGAAAAAUUUUGAAACAGUCCAAUUUCCUUAGGGGACAGGGCCAUGCCCUCAUAUAAGGGGUCGGCUCUUAUAUUGCAUUCUGCCAACAUCAAAUUAUGCUAUUUACAAAUGGUGGACUGACCAGCCUCGAAAUGCAAGGGCCGGCCCUAAUAAUGUGUACUGCCUACAUCCAGUUAGGGCAAUGCAGAGUGCGAUGGGCAAACCUAUGCAAACAAGGGCCGGCCCCCAUAUUGGCUAAUUCCAACAAUAAAUAAGAUCAAUGUGGAAAGAAAGGGGACAACAUCUCCAUCAAUUGAUAACAACUCGGUUUUCAAAUGUGGCCAUCGUUUUAAAGGAUGAUGUGAAUACUUAAUGUUCCAGUCUUCAACUUACAUAGCAUUUCAAAAUUAUGGCAGUUGAAUAAACACUAGUUGAGUAUGUGGCUGUCGUUUUAAAACCCUAGUUCCUCAAGCAGCAUUGAAAACCCUAAUUCUACAACAAUUGAUGUAUAUCCAGAAGCAUAAAUGAAAAAAAAAAAAAAUCAGAAAUGAAGAUAUUAAAGAUCUUUCAAACAUUUUCAGAAACAAAUCACACAUCUUCAACAUUGAGAAAUAAAUACGAAGAGAGAAAUUUACCAGUACAAAACCUACAGAUAAGAUGAUCAUUCGGGCGCUCUCUCUCUUUCAAGUCUCAUGCAAUUUUUGCAAGCUCUCUCUCUCCUCCUCGGAAGCGGAGGCCGACAAUGAUGUAGGAGGGCAUAGCAGCAUGCGGCGGCGGCGGCAGCCGGCGGUGAAGGGAGGGUUCGUGGAGUAGAAUGGAUUCCAGAUCCCAUCGAAUGGAGUACCAGGUUGGGCUGGAUUAGGGCGCGCAGCUGAAGUCUGGCGUGGAGUGUCAGCAUACAAGCUGGGGCGAGGGAAGCUUGGAGAUUGGAGUCUGGGUUUUUUCGUUUAUUUUUUCUGUCAAUCAUGGAUAGAUUACGUGGCAUAAUCUUACCUGGCAAUGGCUUCCGUGGCCAUUCCAACUCGGGCUGAAAUGCGCAAGGGGCAAUUGCGGAAUUAUAUACCGACUUAAAUAAAUCAUUUGAAUAGAUCAAUUUCUUUCCUCCCGAGUUGUAGAAUAGUCAGCGGUGUCAAAUCCUCUUGUUUUCAAGUCAUAAUACUCCGGCUUUAUGUUAAUGGGCAGCCCACGCAGCCCACCACACAAGUUGGGACUUGGAAGAAAGUAAUUGGGAGUGGGCCAAGCAUUAUUAAUUAGAGUCUCUACUGCUAUUUUUAUCACCUGGGGGCUGGGUUGGACGACGACUCUAAUAUUAUUCCUUUAGAAUAUUGUGAUAUUGGCUUCAACUUAAAUUUUUAUGUAAAUUAUGAAAGUCAUUUCUAUACUUUCACUCAUUCAAACCCUUUUUUUUUUCUUAAAUAAGAAUAAUCCGAAGAUAUAACCAAAUGUUAAAUAUGUUAUAUUAAAUAACAAUUUCUGGUAUAAUUUUUUACUUGAAAUUAAUAAAUAAAAAAAUUAUAUGAUUUGGGCAUGUGGACAUUACAUAUGAUUUUUCACAUGGAAAAAAAAAAUUAGGGUUAUGUACUUAUGAGCUCUUUUUUACAUGUAUAUGUAUUUUAAAGUUAGAUUUAUAAUUUAUCCAAAUGGGCCAAAGACAAAGCCCAUGGACAUGGCAAGUUAGGAGUGCAGCCCAACAAUCAAAUCAUGUAGAGGUAGAAUGAGCCAUCAACCAGCUCUUAAGUCUUACCUUUCCUAAAUUAAAGUAGGGUAUGGAUUAAUGAUAGUGCUCAUCUCCAUAUCACCAUCAUUAUGACUCAUAAUACAGCCAAACACCCCACAUCAACCUUUUUCACCGGUAGGUGGUGAUUUAUAGCCUUGGUUAUUGAAAAUCUUUUUAGGUAUUCUAUAGUUGAGUGAUGUAGGGGAUUUUGUCCCCACCCAAGGAUCCUAUCUAAUGCCUCGUUGGAUCACUCUUUAUAUAUCUUCGUUAUUUUAUUUUAUUUUAUGCCCACAAGUUUUUGUUAUGGACUCUACCUGAGUUGUGCCAUUGAUUUUUCAAGAAAAAAUUAGUUAAAUUAAUCAAUAUAAUUUGUUAAUACUUGAAUUAAAAUUUAAUUAAUUGAAUCUAUUUUAUAAUGAUUCUAAAUUUUUUAUUUCUUAAAUAUUAAAAAAGAUUAUAAAUCAUUUUAGGUUUAUUUAAUUUCGAUUACUGAUCAAUUUUAAUUGAGUUAGAGUAGUUUUUAUCAAUUUGAUUUUUACUUCCAUCCCUACCUCAUUUAAUAAUUUUUUUUGUGAGAAUUUUUUAAAUACUAAAAAUAAUAUUCAAAUAAAAUUCUUAAUAAUGGAUUCUACCUUUUUUUUAUCAAUGUUUUGAAAAAGGAAGUCCUCCAAAAAAUUAAUAUGAAAAACAUAUUUUUAUUUAAAUAAAAACGUUUAAAAACAUAAUGUUUAAAUAUAAAUUUCAAUAGCUUCUUCUAAGUUAUAUUUCUAAGUUCUCUACUACCCAUCUAAAAUUCCAUUUAUGACCUCAUGGUUAAAAAAAAAAAAAAUUUUCUUGCAUGUUUUGACCGUUUCUACAGUAUAUAUAUAUAUAUAUAAUAUUAAUGUUAUUUAAAAAUAAUUAUUUAUUUUAAAAUUUAUAAAAAUAUAUAUUUAAAAUGAUUUUUAAAACUAUAUUUAAUUUAAUUUUUUUUUUUGAAACAUUGGAUGUUUAUCCAAAAAUCAAGAUAGAACUAAAAAGUGAAGCAACACAUCCUUAGAGUGCCAUGUAUGAGAUUGUAUGAUAAAAAUAAAAUAUAAGCUAUUAAAACGUGUUAUAGUAAGCUAUCAAUUUCCGUCUUAAUAUAAAUUAUUUGAUACACUUAAACUAAACGCUACACAAAUUUUUUUUAGCAUAUUUUGAAGAUAAAAUUUUUAGUAAUAUGUUACAGUAGUGGCCAUUUUGUACAAGUUGUUGAUUUUUCUUUUCUUGACUCGGAGUACCAAGGAUGAAUAGGUAAUUUUAAAUUUUAAUUAAUUUUAAGUAUUAACAAACUCAACAUUGCCCAUAUUCCUUUAUUCCUUAACGCAUCACAUCAAAAUCCUAUUGACUUUCAACAAAUUGAAUCACUUAUGACAAACAUAUAUGCAACCUUUUUUACAUUUUUAAUCAAAAUUUACUUGCUCUAGAUUUGCUUUCAAAUGUCAAUGGUUCAGGUAGAGAUGAUAAUUGGACGGGUUUUACGAGGUACCCAUUCUCAUCCCACCUCACCCCUAAUAGUAGAACGAGUUGAAAUUAAAAAGAACAAGUUAAAAAUUGAUUUUAAAUUGCUUUUUGAAACUUAAGAUGGUUUUAAGUUCCCACACCUUCUCACAUUGAUUAUGUAUAUAAUUAAGUUUUAAAAAUUUUAAUUUCAUAAUUUUAACACAUAUAAAAUAAUAAUAAAAAUAUAAUUUUAAAUAAAAUAAAUUAUACAAAUUAUAAUAUUUCAUUUAUUUAUAAAAUAUAUUUAUUUUUAAUGUAGUUUAAAAUUUUUUUAAAAUAAAAACAGGACCAAGCAAAGUGUUGUACCCACUCAGUCAUGUUUAAUUUUUUUUUUUUAAAAAUAGAGACGGACAGUCAUUUAUAUAAAUGAUAUUAGAUUGAGAUGAAGUGACUCGUAUUAAAUCUAUCAUAUUGUCAUUUUUAAAUUUAAAUUUUUAAUUUUUAUAAAUCAAAAUUUAUUUUUAAAUUAUUAUUUAAAACUUAAAUCUUUUCUAAUUAGUGAUUUUAAGAACAUAAUUACCAAAGCAAUUGGUAUAGUAACAAAUUUUUUUAGGGGACUUUUAUCGUCUAUUUAAUUGAAAUUAUCACAGAAAGAAAGUUUAUUGAUAAGAACUAAGAAGGCAAUAAAAUUGGUCUCAUGAAAACAACAAACGUGUCGUCGUCGGAGGGCGCUAAAACCGCCACGUGUAGUCUCACCGGACGCCUCACAAAUAUCUUCUCCUGCCCUGUGCCAGCGUACGGGAUACUGUGCCAGCAGAUGCCUCCUUAACCGGCUAUAGCAGGUCACCAACUUUAUCGCAAGGUCACCCUUGUGGUCUCAAAUCUACGCCUUCACCGCCUCCUCCGGUCACCCAAUAAAUUCCACCUCCACCACCCAGUCGACUCGUACACAGAUUCUCUCCGCUUUAUUGUUUUCGUCUUCAACACCUUUACUCUGUUCUCUCCUCACAGCUGUUCCCUUCAUUUCUCUCCUACUAGGGUAUGGAAUUUAUUAUUUUAAGUUUCGAUCCUUGUUUUCGCUUGUUUUGACUUCUGUUUUUUAUUAUUUGUGUUUUUUGAGCUUAAAUUUCUGGUAUCUGUGAAUUUUUGUACAAUUUUGUGGAAUUUGUUGGCUUUGUUCUUGUUUGGUAGGCUCGAUUGAUGAAUUUCUGCUAGUUUCUUUUAUUUUCUCAGGUCGUUCUGAUUUUUCUUGAUUUUAGCUAUAUGUAUAUGCAUGUGAGCAAAUUAUUGGUAGAACUCCCCUGGUUCUGAUUGUUUCCCGAGAAAAAGAAUUGGUCUUUCUACUGUUGAAGAAGAUUUUUUUUUUUUUUUUUGGUUUCUUUUUCCAGCUUCAUGAUAAACCAUGGAGCAGAAGAAAAAAAAAGGAUUUUUUUUUUUCUUGGAGAAAGUUAGUGCAGAGUGUGUUUUCUUAGGAAACAAACAGUCUUUCUGAACGGUGUUACUUGUAUACUUUGUUGCGAAUUGUUGAUUCCUUGAAAUGGUCCGAUAAGCUUUCUUUUUUCCUUUUUGUUGAUUUGGUCUCCAACAUUUCAACCUUCCCUUGAACCCUUAGCUUGGCUUCGGACGUGCCAACUAAUACACCUGCAACUAGUUUACAAAGAAGCUUGGUAGUUUAAGUGAUCGCGAGGAUCCUACAAAGAAUCAGUGGAAGGAAAGGAAAGGAAAAUUAUUAAAAUAACUGGAAAAUCAGUUCCUUUUUCAAGCCCUUUUUCAGCACUUCUCUUUCUUUCUGAGAUUGAAAAUGGUGUCCUUUGUGGCUUUGGCUAACCUAAAUCUAAGGCCUUUUUAUUAUCCUAAUGUAUUGAUAUGUAAAUUGGAUAUUGUCCAUUAUGCAAACUGCAGAAGUUCUAACAGAGUAGUGUUAUUUCAGGAAUAUUUCCUUCAACAAUGAAGGUUACCAAGGGUAAAGCAGCGGCAAGGAAAGACAAAAAGGAAGCAUUGAAGCCUGUUGAGGACAGGUUCAUUUACAUUCUACUUUUUAACUGAUCAAAGUCGUAGUAUUUUAAUUUCUUGGUUUUUAAGGAUGUAGAUAUGGUUGUAACUUUGUUUGAUUUUGUGAUCAUCUUGUUAGAUUGGUGGUUGACUUCUGAGUGUGAGCCUUGUUGACUUCUGGCGUUCCCUUUCCCUUUGUUAAUAGAUACAGCUUUGGGCUGAAUUGUGUUGUGAUAUAUUUUAUUGUUUCAGGAGGCUUGGGAAGCGAAAGGCAGCACUUAAGGCAGAUAAAAGUACCAAAAAAUUGGCAAAGAAAGAAAAAUUGGCCAAGAAGGACCCUAACAAGCCAAAGAGGCCUCCUAGUGCUUUCUUUGUGUUUCUGUAAGUUCAUCUCUAUGUUUGAUGGUGAAUUUUGAGAAACAUGUAUUUUCUAAAUGAUGCGAUCUAAUUUGAAGAUCUCUCAACUUUUCUUCCAUGUAAAUGCUGCAGAGAAGAGUUCAGGAAGGUAUACAAACAAGAGCAUCCCAAUGUGAAGGCUGUUUCAGCUGUAAGAAGUUACCUAGCAUUAUUUUUGCUUUUAUUCUUUGCAUUGAAAGCAUUUGGUCAGCUUGAUAGUUCAGUCUUUAGGAAAUGAGAAUUUGACCCUUGGUCUCUGCAUGCUUCAAUUGAAGGUUGGGAAAGCUGGGGGAGAGAAGUGGAAAUCCCUGUCUGAAGCUGUAAGUGCUCAUGCCUCCCAAAAGUAACUCGACGUGAUUGGGAUGUGUUGUCAUCCCGUUUUGUUUAGUUAGUUUAACUUAGAGAAUCAAAUUAAUUCUGUUUGUAAAGGUGCUGCUUUAACCUAUCACCGUGGCUCUCACUCGGCCUGGAUAUUCACCAAGCACAUAUUCGAUGACUUUGGAUCUCUAAGUUGUGUGGCCAAGCCAAUGCCAAUCUAAUGUAGACUGCAGAAGCACUAGAUAAUUGGCAUUGUCUAGGCCCUGAAGACUCAUAAUGACUGGACGUGGAGUAAGAUAUAUACCUCUUGACAGAUCUGGCAAGUUGGAAAUAACAUUAAUAUGAAAUAGUCAAAAUAAGUAAUUAUGCAAAGGAUAUUUUAACUUUUUAGUGUCUGUAAGUUCUCUUCUCCAUCAAGAGUUUCAAUCUGGCUUGGAGACUGGUGAUGCUUCAUGAACUAUUGACCUGAUUCUUCUUUACUGGGUUUUCCAGGAUAAAGCUCCAUAUGAAGCUAAAGCAGCAAAAAGGAAAUCGGACUAUGAAAAGCUUAUGGCAGCAUACAACAAGAAACAGGUGAUUAUUGGCCCAUCCAUCUUGUGAGAAAUUAAGGGCUUGUUUGGCAACGUAUUCAAAAACAGUUCUUAAUUGUUUUGAGGAACAAAAUUCUGUUUGGGAACUCAAAUAUGGAAACCAGUUUUCUUGAUUUAUUCUUUCAUGUAAGUACUAAUCUACUUAAGUAAAAUGCAAAAGUUCUCAAAAUGCUCUCCAUAUUUUUUUUAUUGUUUCUUAGAAUUCUCUACAAAAGACACUAGAAAACACCUCUUUUUCUAAAAAAAUAAUUUGUUUUCAGAACAAAUUCUCAAGAACCUAUUUUCAGUAAAAAAAAUAAAAAUUCAAUCGUAUUUUUUGAGUUUUAAAAACUGUUUUAUGUUCCAAACAAGCCAUAAUGUUUUAUUCUUCCCUUCUUACUUCUUGACUUGCUUAUCUGGCUUCAGGAAAGUAUGGCUGAUGAUGAUGAAGAAGAGUCUGACAGGUCAAAAUCUGAGGUAAAUGAUGAAGACGAGGAAACUGGAGAGGUAGUCUUCUGAAGUUCCAAUUCUUCUCAUUGUCCAUUGUUUAGUAGUAUUUCCCCUUUUGAAGCUCAUUCUUUUCCAUAUCUUUCUCCAAUCGGUAUUAACAAAAUUGCCUUACCUCUUUGUAGGAAGAGGAAGAAGAUGAGGAUGAGGAUGAGGACUGAAACUAGCAUGUUUUAUAGAUUAAGUCCUUAUGGUUGAUCAGGCCAUAAAUUCUGGAUUAUGUAAUGAUCAUACCUUCGGGUUGUGUGUGAUUGGUUUUGAGAUGGGAAAGCUUGCAGCCUGUACUGCUGCUAAGUUUCCAUGUUAGGUUACUUGUGUAUUUCGUAUGCAUAUAUGUUCCACUCCCUGUCUCAGUUAAAUAUAUCCUGAUCAUUUCACAGGUCUUCCUCUCAUGAUUUCUUUAGUUAUUAUUCCCUUAUUACCAGUAAACAGGAAAUGAAUGAACUAGAUAAAUAUAAAUUGGGGUUCAGUCAUAUUAUUCCUUACUACUGGAACUGCUUUUAAGAGUGCACUUGGAGGUUUGUAUCAUUUUUUGGCAUGUUGGUUACUCUUAAUUGGUGUACAAUCCCAUUCUUUGGACCGCAGCACAUGUUUCUACAAUGAAAGGCAAAUCCAUGUGUGCUAGUGCUGUGUUGGUUAUUUUGAAGUUUGUUUAGCUGACAAUGAGAAAGUGAUUCAACACUACCAAAUUGUAUAUGGUGCUACUAUUCUACGCUGUCAAAUCAUGUUUAAUUCCUUGAUGUGUAGGUUAAAUUGUAGUCCUUGCGGAUUAUUUUGUAGUUUGUUGAGGUUAUGAUGCCGUAUACUUUCUGUAGUGUCCUUCCAUACCAGCAUAUGUAUGGGAUGUGACAUAAUGUUCUACAAAAUUGUUUAUGGAGAAAGUAAUCUCUCCUCAGACAUCAUUAACUGCUUAUUGCAUCUUUUAAGUUCUGAUAUAUAAGGAUCUUCACUUCUUUGUUAGAUAUUGUAAUACCUUUUAACUCUGAUUUUGUGGUAGAAUUAGAAGGUAAGUUGUAUCUUUGACAGGGAUAUGUGGUCUUCUGGACAAUUUCUCCCAACUUGGACCUUCUACAAGUUAUGUUUAGGAUAUUGUAGCCCGAACCUGGAAAGACAAGGAAAGUUGAUCUUAUGCUUUCCUUCAACAUGGUUUUUGGGAUGUGCUAAACUGGAUAUGGUCAUUUUCCCCUCUCUUGGAAAUUAUCUCAAGCUACGUGUAUGGAAGAUGGGAUGAUUAGCGAAGAAUUUGAGUAUGAUGCUCUACUGGAUGGAUGGUUUUUUUUUUGAGGCAUCUAAUAGAAUGUUUUGUCUAGGUUGCAUUGUUGCCCUCUUUCCCAUGCUGUUGGUAGGAUGCGACAUCAAAACAUGGUUGGGCCCAUUUAAAAUAUGACCUGAAUCACUUUCUAACAGGAGGAAAACAAAAGUUUCCAGAAUGGACUUGAAAGUCCAGUGCAGAGAGACUAUGCCUACAAUUCUAUAGGAUGAACUGAUAAUUGCUUCAGUCCAAGGGUUAUCGUGCUCUUUUUAUGUAGCUUGGAUUAGGAAGCGAUUCUCAAUCAAUUAGAGAAUAGAACAAAAAAUACCAGUGAGCCUCAGCUGUCUGCACCUCUCUUGCUACUGUUAUUAGUAUGCUACAUAGCCAUCAUGAUCCUGCUGGUUCUCGUAGAGGCUUUUAAAUGGUCCAUGGAUCGAGCCCAGAAAAUCCAUCAAACCCAUUUGAAAGCCCAAAGAUGAAGCCCCAAAUUGUCAAAGAUUAUCCCAAAUCUUUCAACAAGUUCAUACAUUCUGAACAUGACUACCUCUUGAUCCUACACUUUAUGAAUCUCAAAUCACUCCACAUCAUUUUGAUGCUGAUUAUCUCCCAAAACCCGAAACAACCCCACACUUUGGAGAAUCCUGUGAACUAAUCAAGCUGUUGUUUCAGGUAUAAGAUGGGACUUAGUCUAGGCACAGGCAGGGUGGUGGUUCCUUUUGGUCCAUCUAGGAGACAACUUCAUAUCAAACAUGUCGAACCGUGUGCGCCUUUUGUUGGAUCAUGUGUCCAGCAUCAAGAAUGUGAUUGAUCCCAUAAUGAUAAUAAUUACAGUAAUGUGCAUCUUUAACAUUAUAAAAGGGCAACCCCUUUCCAAGAUAUCAUUAAGACUUCAUAUAGGGGCAUAAUGAAGCUUCAUAUAGUCCAGAUCAAAAGAUGGGCUGUAAAGAAAAGCAUAAUGUGAUGGGGGGAUUAGACUAAAAGAAAAAGGAGGGGGGAGGAUAUAGCAAAUGGUAAUGAUGGGAACCAAGAAACCAUAGAUUCACAAGUGUCCAUGUUGCGACAUGUCGCCGGAAAGCAAGAAAGUGCUGGCCACAUGGUCGCGAGGGACACGCUCAAGUGGACUACAAAUGCCAUCAUAAUCAAAAGCAAAAAAGAGAAAGGAAAGCAACCCAUUAUCCCUACAUAAACCCCCCAUUGUUUUCUUUCUUUCUAUCAUCUUUCUCUGCUAAUCAUGAUUUAAACUUGUAAUUCAAUUCCCAUCAUUCUACUGCAUAUUCUCCAACAUUAAUCAUUCUCAUUGUCAGUUCCAACAAAUGUUUGGCCUUCGUUAUUAUCAUGAAUCUGUUUGCACGUCUGGGGAUGUCGGUCAUUUGUCGCCCUUAUUCUUGCCUACAGACAUGUGAUGCUGUGAUUAUUCAUUCUUGUCUUGGUUGGUUGGUUGGUUUUAGGUAUCAAGAAUCUGCGACCUGGGAAAACGAUGGUUGAAAAUGAUUCUGGGAUGACUGCGUAACAUCGGAGAUUGUUAAGACCUUGCUAUAAGUCAAGGGCCGAAGAUGGGUGCGUUGUUUGGGUUGCGUCGAACCCUAUUGGGUACCAUCCGGAUUGUUAGGCCCUAAGAAUGAGUGUGACGUUGGACUACAUAAAAAAGAAACGGGAAUUGUGUGGGAUGGGUUAAGCCCUAUUAUGCACCUUGGAUUGUUGACUCCCGCAAUGAUUGAUGUCGUAUCAUGUAAAUAGAAUUAAUUUGACUUCAUUCACAAUCAAUUGAUCUGAGAUGAGAUGAUUAAAGUAUUAUUUGCUUUUAUUUUUUUUUAUUAAUUUCUUAAAUUUUUUUGACUAGAUAAAAAAAAUCAAAAUAUUUAACUUUUUUAAAUACUAAUUAUAACUUAUUAAUUUUUCUAUACCUCUCAUUAUUUAACACUGUUAAAACUAUUUGAUUAUAAGUUUUAUUUAUAAUUAGGUCAAAAAACAAACAUUACUUCAAGUCUUUUUGAAGUCUCAGUAAUCUUAAAUACAUGCAUUUUAUCAUGCUGCCUUUUACCCUACUUCUCUCUCUCUCUCUCUCUCUCUCUCUCUCUCUCUCUAUAUAUAUAUAUAUAUAUAUAUAUAUAUAUAAAAUUUUCGUUUUCUCUGUUUCCUGAUUGUGGAUACUCCUAGGGAAUGAAUGAGUAUUUCUUAUCUGUGUAGUUUGUGUCACUUCACACCUAUGAGAGCUUACUUUUUGCUUGACAAACUAUUGUUUGGGCGGAACAACAAUACUAUUAUAAGCAUAGGAAACUUUUAUUCUAUGAGAUUAUGCUUAGAUCUACCAUACUCAACAAUGGCACAACACAGCAUGAGCUGCUAGAGACUAGAUUGACAAGCUUCCGAAAACAUUCCUAAAGAAAAUGGUAAUUUAGGCUUAGUUAAGCAGCAUCAUGUGGUGGGGUAGGCCUAGUUAAGCUGUAAGUAUAUGAAAAUUGGGUUGAUUUUAGUUAAGCAGAAGUUUGAAACUAAAAGUAGUAAUCCUUAGACUGAAAACUGAUGGAGCUUAGGGAGAAGUUAGGCAGAAAAAUAUCUUAUUUUGGACUGACUGAUAGGGGAUUUGGAUAAGCUUCUCUUUUCCUUGGAGAUAUGGAUAAAAGUUCCGUCGAUUGUAGCCUCAAAAAUGGUGGAUUUAUCAGUAAAGACAAAGCCCAAAAAAUCCAGAAAUAGUUGGCCAUGAGGUAAGUGUGAGAAUAUAAAACAGGAUAUUUUUCCUAUUCUUUUAUCUCUACCAAGGAUAUGUGGGAUAUUUUAGUAGGAAUGGGAUUAAUUUUAUAGACAUAUUAUAAAUAUCAUAUUUAAAAAAUAUUAUAAUCAAGUAAGCAAUUUGUUCAAGGAAUUAUUCAGGCUCACUAUUUUUUCCCAAACUGAUUAGAUGAACAAUAAUAAGGAUGUGUUGCCAUUACUAGACAUGCUUGAUGUGCAAGAAAAUAUCAUUCUAGCUAAAGAUUAGAUAAAUUGAUGGUGGAGUAUAUAAUGAAGUUCAACCAUACUUUUGACAGAAGGAAACAGGGAAGGUGAUCAUUUUAAAGAUGGAUUUGGAUAAUGGAAAAGAGUGGAAGUCUGCCAUUAGUUUCAUGAUAUCUUUAUGGGUUUAAAUAAUUUCCUGUUGGGUCAAAACAAUUCUAAUCAGAGGAAAUCCCAAGUGAUUUUUUUCCCUGUUCUUGGGCUUUCUCAUGUUUCUCCUAGGUUUCUUUUGUCGUACUCUCCUAUAGUUUUAUUACACUUUACUAGUAUAUUUUUGUUCAAAGAUAUUUCCCACCAAAUGCAUGCUAUGAGUCUAUGAAAAAGGCUUUUACUUUCCAUGCUGGAUUCGGCUUUUGCUCCUCAAUCUGAAAUCAUAGUCAUUUGGCACCUUGCAUGACUACCUAUUAUCUUUCGUGUGCCCUCGAGGAAUCAAAAUCUGUCCCUAAUAGAACGGCCUUCCCGUACCUCGUCAUGGGGACAAACUUAUUCAUAUUCUCGUUGGCUUAAUGCUUAUCUUGUUUGAUGGUUGAGACAAAGUCAUUGUUACCUUCUUUCGUCCCUACUUAAAAUGCAAAUGCAAAGGUAAAAAAGUGGUUUGACUCUUAUUCUUUGACAUCGACGUCAGUACAAACAACAAACAAGUAUUUUGCCAAUGUUUGAUUUCAUAAAAAUGCAUAUGUUGUUAAGGUGUUGUCGAAGGCGUGGGGGUCAUAGCAGAUAUCCACUAAUAAUUUUUUUCCUAAAAGAGGGCAAGCCCACAUGACGAUGACUCAUCGGUUUAUUCUUGGUUGUAUAUAGGUGGCUAGCUUGACGCCAAUGUAGAAGAGAAAUUUGUUGUUCAAAAUAUUUUUCUUCUUCAUUUUAUCUGCAACUUGAGUGCUAACUUGAUUGUCGGAGGGGGAUGCGCUGGAGCACCCACAUUUGACAUUUCCUUUUGUUUGCAAGAGGCACAAAGUUUAGUAUUGGAUAAUUGGGAUUGCACUUGUUGGUAAGAUUGCAGAGUGGGAACUCUAGAGGAGGAGUUUGUUGGAAAAUUGUUGCUCCAACAAUUGACGUUAUAUGUUGGUAUGGAUUGAUUGUGGAGUCAUUCUCCUAUUGGAGAAGACAUAUCACAUGAUGGUGGUGGAGCUUAUACUUUUAGAGGAACAAAUUAAAGCAAUCAUGGCUUAAAUGGAGACACAAGAAAAGGAACGUCAUUGUCAAUAUGAAUCACUGUGGUAGAUUAUAGAUUAAUUGUACGCUAAAAACCAACUUUCUUCUUCAGUCACUAUUAAAUCAUUAGUCGAUGGAGUUUGAUCAUCACUCAUUCUCACACUCAAGAUUGACCACUCCUUUUAGUGCGCAACACCAAUAUUGAGCCUCUAGUAGAGCUGAUUUCCACUACCCGAUGUUUAGAACCAAACUUGCUUCCCCCAACAAACCUCGACAUACUUGGAAAAUACAACUAACAUGUUAAAAAGUUGGUAGAGGCACACCACCCCAUUGACAUCACUUGCGGUCAUCACAUUUGAUCGCUUGGCUAAUCAUUUACUUGGCUCUAAAAUGACUCAUCUAGAUGCCCUUUCUCAGGAAAGUGAUGGUGUAGGAAUCACCAUAAGGCCUUUUUAUACCCAAAUUUAAUUCGUUUGAUGGGAGUACCUACUAUAUAUAUAUUGUAUUUUAGACAAGCCAUGAUAUCGAAAGCUUCCAAUGAGUUACUAUUAUGUAAGAUUUUUCCGACUAGCUUGCGCGGUUCCGCCCUAUUGUGGUUCCACAGCUAUGGGAGGAGUUAGUUCAUUCUUUUUGGACCAUGUGUUAAGCAUUUAUGAUCAAUAUCGAAUAUUAUAUUUGUCCAAAAGGGUAGGCUAGUUCCUUAUUUGAGAUGCUAAUCGGCCUAGAGGGAGCGAUUUGCCAAUUUUUCAAAUGUUUUAGCCAAGCCUGAAUGCAGUUCAAAGGAGAUAAUGACAUUGUUGGUAUUGAGGAUUUCAAACAAGCUCUACCCAAUCAUUUGGAGUUGAGGAAACCAUUAACCCCUUUCAUUGCUUCUCAAGGAGUGCAUAAAAUGGAAAAUGAGGAGCAUUAAAGGAACUGAAAUCCAUCCCUCAUGGUCCGAGCAUAAUAAUAAGAACAAAUUCUCCUCUACAUAAUCAAUCAUAGGGUUGGACCGAUUCAUGUUCCCAUUAACUUAAUGUCCAUCUCAUUAGACAAAUAAGACAAAGUCAUUGUCAUGGAAGAAAAUGUCAAGAUAUAUCGGCGAUAUAUCGUGUAUCGGAGGGUGGCGACACGAUAUUUUGUGAAGAAAAAUAGUUGAAAAUCGGCCAAAAAUCACCAAUAUAUCACUGAUUUAUCAGCAACAGGCUAUAAAUUGUCGAUUUUAUGCAAAAAUCUGCCAGGAUGGGAGAAAAUUGCCUAUAUUUCGGUGAUUUUUUGGCAAACUUUUUGCUUCUCUCUCCAACGUGAUUUGAUGGCCCAGAUCACGUCUGUGUUGAUCCGACGACCCAGAUCAUGCCUGCUGCGUCUACUUGCAACGGUUAUCUAUCCAACGCCCCAAAUUGAAUCUGAGUUUGAUCCAAUAGUUAGGAUGAGAUUCCAACGGUAAAAUCACGAUCCAACGGUCAGAUUUCGUUCAGAUUUUGAUCCAGUGGCCAAAAUUGCUUUUCAACGGUAAAAUAAUCUUCUAAUGACUAUUUUGGCCUAAAUUUCUUCUAUAAAUAGCCCAUUUUGCAUCCAUUUCAUCCGCCUUUGAUUUCAUUCUUCAUUUUCUCUCUCAUUACUCCAAAUUUUUCUAAAGUUGCUCAAUUAUUCAAUCAUUUUAAGGUAUGUUUGUUUUUAAUUGUAAUUAAUUCAUGUAUUUUCAAUUAAUUGGUAUAUUUGCAAUACGGAUUAUUUAAUGUUAUUUUUACAUUUAAUUGUAAUUAAUUUUUAUAUUUUUAUUAAAUUAACUUAAGUUAAUUUGAUUAUUUAAUUAUAAAUUGAUAUAUUUAUUUUAGAUGAUUAUUUAAUUUUAUUUUCACAUUCAAUCUUGUUAGAAUUAUAUUCAACUAGUUAACUUAGAUAAAUUGUUUAAUUAAUUUAAUUAAAAUGAACUAGUAUAUUUGAAAUAUCAAAUAUGUUCAUUUUUUAUGAUUAUUGUGAUUUAUUUUCAUAUUCAAUUAUGAUUAAUUUUUAUAUUUAGUAAAAUUUUCAUAUAAUUAGAUUUAGAUUCAAAAAAUUAACUUAGCUAAAUUAUUAAAUUAGUUUAGUUAGCAUGAACUAGUAUAUUUAGAAUAUCAAAUAUGUUCAUUUUUUUUUAUGAUUAUUGUAAUUUAUUUUCACAUUCAAUUAUAGUUAAUUUUUAUAUUUAGUAAAUUUUUUCAUAGAAUUACAUUUAGAUUCAAAAAAUUAACUUAGCUUAAUUAUUUAAUUAGUUUAAUUAACAUGAACUAGUAUAUUUGGAAUAUCAAAUAUGCUCAUUUUUUUUUAUGAUUAUUGUGAUUUAUUUUCACAUUCAAUUAUAGUUAAUUUUUAUAUUUAGUAAAUUUUUUUCAUAGAAUUACAUUUAGAUUCAAAAAAUUAACUUAGCUAAAUUAUUUAAUUAAUCUAAUUAACAUGAACUAGUAUAUUUGGAAUAUCAAAUAUGCUCAUUUUUAAUGAUUAUUGUGAUUUAUUUUCGUAUUCAAUUAUGAUUAAUUUUUAUAUUUAGUAAUUUUUUCAUAGAAUUAGAUUUAGAUUUAAAAAAUUAACUUAGCUAAAUUAUUGAAUUAAUUUAAUUAACAUGAACUAGCAUAUUUGGAAUGUCAAAUAUGUUCAUUCUUUAUGAUUAUUUUGUAGAUUUCUCAUAGAUUUAGAUUUAGUAAACUAACAUAGCUAAUUUAUUUAAUUAAGUUAGCUAUUAGCAUAAAUUAGUAUAUUUAGAAUAUGCUCAUUUUACAUGAUUAUUUAAUUUUCUUUUCUCAUUCCAUUGCAAUAUGUUAAAUUUAAAUGUUUACUUAAUUUUUGUUUACAUUGAAAUCACAUUCAAGUGUAUUUCUUUUGCAAUAGAUUUAGCAUGGCUAGUGAAUGUGAUUCUGCCAUGCUAGGGCGAAAUUUAGUUUGGAAGUAUUGUUCACCAGUUGAGGGGAACAGAAAUGAAACAAUUUGUAAUUUCUAUGGGUUGUUGAUGAAAAGUGGAGGCAUCAUGCGAUUCAAGUCUCAUUUAACGCAUAACGACCCACAUAACAACACCAAAAAGUGUUUGAGAGUGCCUCCCAAAGUGAAAGAAGAGAUACGAUUGGUGGUGCAUGACAAACAUACAACAAAAAUAAAGGAAACCGUUGAUAUUUAAAAGAUUCGUGCUCAAUUACAUGGCACAGUGGGGACUCGUGAUAUACAUUUGAUAAACGAAGAUAAUGAUGAUGAAGAUGUGUAUAUGUAUCCGAUAGAUAUGCACCCAGAUGAGCGGGAUGCAUAUCGAUUUGUAGUUGUGCCUCGAAAGUGUUAGAAUGGAACAUCAACAAUAUGAAAAUAUUGUAGGAAGCGAACGAAAAAUGGGGGAGUCUUCACGGUCUACUGGUACAACAAUGACAAUGCGAAAAUCACAAAGUAUGCGACAUUCGAAUCAGUCACCCCCUGUUGCCCCUUCGCUCUACUAAGUUUUCUGUAGCAAGACAAAAAAAUAUCAAAGAUAUAUUGAAGGGUGGUUCAAUUAAAGAAAUGAUGGGACACUUAAUUAACAAAUUCUUCAUUUAUGAGAGUGUUGCACCCCAAAAAGCAAAGUCUCAUCACUUCAAGAAUAUGAUUAUUGGUGCACAACAAACAGGUAAUUACUAAUUAUUGAAUCGUUAUAUUGUUUCAGACUUUUAGUAAGUAUAGUUUUUUUUGACAUGUUUUACAUAUUUGUUAUAUAUGAAUUGCAGGAAUGAGAAUCGAACCUCCAUCUCUAUAUGAAAUAAAGAACAAGUACUUGGAAAUGGAGUACAAAAAAAUGAAAGCUUAUGUGAACCAACAAAGUGAAAAAUGGAAGACAUAUGAGUGCACAAUAAUGUCAGAUGGAUGGAUAGGCCCCACAGAAUUGAGUAUUAUUAAUUUCAUGGUUUAUUCAAAAGGGACCAUAGUGUUCCUUGAGUCAAUCGAUGCAUCGAACCAUAUUAAAGACCACAAGUAUAUAUACAAGCUAUUGAAGACUAUUAUAAAAAAAGUCAUUCAAGAAAAUGUGGUCCAAAUUGUCACAAAUAAUGGGUCGGCGUUCAUGAAAGCAAGAAAACUAUUGAUGAAGAAGUUUAACUUAUAUUGGACUCCGUAUGCGGCGCAUUGCAUCGACUUAAUCUUUGAAGACAUUGGUAAAAGACCCAGUGUUAUUGAUGUGAUAAACAAUGCUCACAAGAUAACUAACUUCAUUUACAACCAUGGUUAGUUACUUGCACAAAUGAGAAAGUAUUAUGGUAGAGACAUUGUUCGACCAGGAACUACAAGGUUUGCUACCAAUUAAAUUGCUCUUGAUAGUCUUUUUAAAAAAAUUGAUGAUUUGAAAAAAAUUGUUUAUGAGUGAUGAAUGAGCACAACACAAGCUCAGUCGAACAUAAAUUGGACUAGAUUUGGAGCAAUUAUUGUUUGACCAUACGUAUUGGGACAAAGUGGCAAAUAUAGUUUCAUUAUAUAAGCCAUUAUACGUGGUGCUUCAACUUAUGGAUUCUGAAAUUGUUCCCACAAUGCCAUUUGUGUACGAGCUUAUGCAUGUGAUGAAAGAGAACCUUAUUUGUCAAGGAACUGGAAAUUGGAUUUUCAAAAUAAUAAAAGAUCGUUGGGAGAAAACACUAAAACAUCCACUUCAUGCAGCAACCUUAAGUACUAUAUAUCUUUAUAAGUUUUUACUCUGUAUUUAAUUUUCUUUAACAAAAUACUAACUCUACUUAAUUUUAUUGUAGCAUACUUCUUGAAUCCAAGAUUUCAAUAUAGGCAUGGAGUUGGUAGUGAUACAGAACUACUUCAAGCGGUCCAUGAUGUUUUUGUAGAAUUAGACCCAACUAUUAAAUCGCUUGGUCAAUCUAGAAAUGAGGUAAGUAAAAAAUUGUUAUUUUUGUCAAUAAAACAAUAAUUUCAUUCAUCAAUUUAUUUGAACGUUUACUACCAAAUAUGAUAUUAACAAAUUAAAUGUUGAAUACAUAGCUUGUGUUUUUUCGAGAUGCCAAAAGAGGAUUCGGUGAUCGAGCGGCGAUUGUAGCAAGGUCAACCAUGGUGCCCGGUGAGUCUUUAUAGGAAAAAAUUUAUUAUCAUUAUUGUAAAUUCACCACAUAAGUAUUUAUAUGAUUAUCAAAUUGGUUGCAGCUGAAUGGUGGUUCAUGUAUGGGAUUCAAAUACCUACAUUAAGAAAGUUAGCCAUUAAAGUUUUUUCACAAACUACGUCAUCUUCUGUCUAUGAGAGAAAUUGGAGUACGUUUGCUCUCAUCCACACAAAGCAACGAAAUCGUUUGGCUUACCCUCAAUUGGAGCAAUUAGUUUUUUGUUACUAUAAUAUGAGAUUAAAGUUACGCAAUAUGGAGACAGAAAAUGAUCGAGUUGCUAAAAAAGAUUACCUUGAUCUUCUUGACAUUUCAGUCGAUGUGGGUGAAGAAGAAGAUAAUCAAUUGUUCCAAUGGGUUAAGCCUAUACACUUGGAUGACGAAGUUGGAAAUCCUGAUCCACGAAUUACCGCUCAUGUUCGAGAAUUUGGAGUUAAUGUUGAACGUGUGUUGUUCGAAGAAGUUUAUUCUAAAAGUUUUAGCAAAGAUACUGAUGAUUCAUUUCAGGCGGCAUUGAAUUCCCACCAAGAGGUGGAAUCCACUAGUGCGGGCCAUAGUAGUAGACCUAAUGCUGCAGAUACUUCUACUUCUGGUUACGAUGGUUCAAGAGGUGGAACUGAUGAUGAAUGUGAUACUGCGGGAUAAGCUAUUUGGGAACGUCAGCAUAAUCAAUAUCCAAUCAGCCAAUUUACCUAUGAAAAUGAUUUCACACAUUGCACACAUAAUGAAGACUAUGGCUCUAGAAGAGCUGGUUCGGGCAUAGGAGCUAUUGGGAAACCCUAUGGAGAAAGAGAACGAACAAUGGAACCAUAUAACGAGGAGUUACUUUCAAGGAGUUUUAAAUCUAUGAGUAUAAGGACUCAAUUUAGUGACUCCUCGAAUGAGGCUAAUGUCUACCCUCCUCAUGUGAUGAGUUAUGAUCAACCUUCAAGUUCAACCGAUAAAGAGUAUGGUAUGCCGUGUUGCUCUCCUUCCACACAAAUGUCAUACCAAGUUCCAUAUUAGAUGGAAGAAGGAUUUGACAUUAACACAUAGGUGAACUUUGAGUAUCAUAUCAAUGUAGAGCCAGCGGGCAAGACUUAAAAGAUAUAUGUAUGGCAUAUUAGAAUUUUCAACCAAUAUUAUCGAGGCUCAUUGAGUUUGUACCAAUAUUGUCUCAAACAGCAAGACGGAGUUCUUUCAUCUUUCAAUCCCAUUAAACCACAUCGAUCAUCAUUUUGGUACUAAAGGGACAUUGCAAUGUAAUGUGUACAAAUUAUUGAUAUUUAAUAAAAUGAAGUAUUUUAUGUGACUUCAUAAUGAGAACAAUUACAAAAUUAAUAUUUCUUAUAGAUCGACAUGAUAUAAUUACAUCUAAUAUCACAAAUUAUAUCAUAUGUAUAUCAAAUCUUUCAAUAAAACAACUUUAAAAUGUUUAUUAUACUUCUAAUUAUAUUAUUAUGAGGUUUUUCUUACAUUUCCAUAAGUUUUUAACAGUUUUAAGCCUAUCGAAUUUUUUUUCCAAAAUAUCUGCCGAUAUAUCCGUAAAAUCGAAGUACCGAUACAUCUAUGAUUACCGAUAUUUUUAUCCAUGGUCAUUAUUACCUUCUUCUGUCCCUACUUAAGGUGGAAAGGUGGCUUGAUUUUUAUCCCUUAUCCAUUGUUAAGUAAAAUGGACAAGUAUUUCGUUAGUGCCUUCUUUUGUAAAGACAUUUACAUUUUUAAGGUAGUGUUAUUGCAUGGAGGUUAUAGACACACAUAUGCAAAUCGUUUUCUUCCCUUAGCGAAGGCAAACCCACACGACGAUUUACUCGUUUGUUGAUUCUUGACUAUAUAUAGGUUGUUGGCUUACGUUAAUGCAACAGAGAAAUAUAUUAUUCAAGAUAUCGUCCAUCUUCUUUCUUCUUCUUCUUCUUCUUCUUCUUUUUGUUUCCAAAAACUUGAGUGCUAACGUGACCAUCGAAGCACUCCCACUCAACACUACCUUUUAUUUGUUAGAGAUGGGAAAUUUAGUGAUGGAUGGAGUUAUUGCACUUACCAAUAAGAUUUCAGAGUGAAAGCUUUAGAGGAAGAUUUUGUUGGUACAACAAAUCCCAUAUCUCAUUUUUGUGUUUGAGGAUCACUCGCAUAGAAAUGAAGCUGUGGUAGAUGAACAUAUUCCACUCAUUUACAAGAAUUUUGGCUGCCUUCACGGGCAAUCAACUCUUAUAAGACAUAGAUAAAAAGUAAAAGCUUCUCCCCUAUAUGAAAAAGACCAUAAGAAAGGGAAAAAAUAGCCGGUGGUGCUAAUAAAACCUACUGCAUGUAUGCUAUCAGGUAGGUUUGUCCCCCUUUUUCGCAGCAAUAAAAAGAAGGUACUAUGAUAAAUCAAAAGAUAAACAGUAGAGGAUGUAACUGUGGAUUCUACUUUUGCUGGCUCACCCUCUUUUCUCAAGGAGACUAAGAUUAGUGAGUGAUUAUUUUAUGACGUUUGAGAUUAAGGGCAUAAAACUAAGUCGAUUAGAAAAUGAUUGGAGGCAAAGAAAAGUCACAAAAUGGUGCAGUAAUGGAGCAAAGUAUGAGGCAUUAGAAGACAAAACAAGGGAAGAAAACUCAGAGUGGUGUUAUGUCUACAGAACAACUUCUUGAUUGCAGACAAAGUAAUCAAAUCUUCAAAAUUCAAAGCCAAUCUGGCCGGCAAUGUGUCAAUCAAACUCAUCACUCACCACCACUCUACCCAGAGUCUAAGAUCAUAUUUUAUAUUUCUAAAUCGACUAUUUUAUAUUUCUAAAGUCGACCAUAUUAUAUUUCUAAAUCAUCAUUACCAUACUAGAAUCAUAGCACCUGAGGACUCUUCAAAGUUUCCUUUGGAAUUCACAUCACCAAAGCUAGUAUGCCCACUGAGAAUGUAUGAAACUUGGGCAGCUUCUAUAGCUUUUACGAAAUUCGGAUUACCUUUGAUGUCGAAGAAUAUCAAUUUCAUUGUUUUAUUGUCUAGUUUUUCGUUCCAAUUAUGAAUAGAAGAAUCACUCAAAAAAAUUUCAUAGUAUAAGAAUCUGGACCUUUACUUUUACCGAUAAAACUAAAAAACUUAAGAAGAAAACUCUUUUUUAUUAUUUAAAAAAACGUUCUUCAAGGUUUUUAUUAUUAUUAUUAUUCUUUUUAAUAACAAUUUUUGGGUAAUUAAAAAAAUCCCAAUAACUGCUUCCUCCCCUUUUAAAACAUUGGGUCAAGUUGAACGAUCCACUUAUUCUUCUUUAGUAACAAUUUUUAAAUGGUUAAAAGAAAUCCCAAAAACAGCACCCUCCUCUUUUAAAACUUUGGGUCAAGUCAAACCAAACGACUUAUUCAUCUUUUCAAUAACAAUUUUUGGAUAGUUAAUAAAAAUCCCAAAAACUGCUCCUUUCCCUUAUAAAAUAUUGGGUUGGGAUGAAUCAGUCCACUAGUGGGGAUUGGUUUAACUGCCCAUUUACUUUAGUCAUCAACUAGUAAACCUACUUUGAAACCCAUGUGAGAAAAAUGGUGGGGGACUUUGAAAUUUGGGUGCAUUAAUGUUCUCCACCAUGUGAAAUGCUGCCAGGUAUGCGUAAUGUUUGCUUCUUUUCGUAUUGUCUUUAUUGGGCUGUGCUUCCAUUUAUGGACACCAAAAAGAGGGGUGGAAAAAGGCAAUGUACACUGUGGUCAGUGAGAUGAACUGGCCUUUUGCAUUUUGCCCAUUACUCAAGCUUUGCUUUUAGGGUUGUAGAGCUUUUGAACAGUGCCUCCCCAAGGCCCAAUAAAAUAUUCAUUUCAUGAAAUAUCCAAUUUUCCCAUGGGCUUGGAGAUGCCCAAAAUACUUUUAAAAGAAAUCAUUUAACAAAAAUAUCCAAGGGGGCGGAGGAAGACCCCCAUAUUCUUCCGCUCUCAAUUUUCCCAAUAUCAAUUCAACUUCUACCUAAUGAAACUAGAAGUUUGGGAGAGUGAAGUAGUCAUCAAAUAAAUGAAAUGAAAAUAGAAAAAAAAAAAAAAAAACCCGUACAUAGAAACAGAGUGACUGGAUCACGCCAGAUGCGAACGUGUGGAAGAAGAAAGGUGCAGCAGGUGGUGAUUGUGGUGAAUGGUGCGGGUGAGCUACAAACAAAAAACGAACAGAGCUGCAUGUGACUAUGUGACUCCCUACGAGACUCUUGCUCCUCUCUUUCUCCAUCUCUUUGUCCCUUUUGGAAAAUGUUAGCGUGUGGUUGUUUGCUUUCAAAAAUUAAAUUCAUUUAUAUAAAAAUUAAAUAAUUUAAAAACACAUCAUUAUCAUUGAGAUAUACUAUAAACUUUUAAAACACGUUCUCUAUCUUUAAAAAUCUUUGUUUUUCAAAUAAAUUUUAUAUGGUAAAAGAUUACCUUUUGAACAUACAUGGAAAAUGUAUCAUCAUCUAUCAAAUCAAGUUAUUUAGGUUCCAAUUUUGAUAUGGUAGGCUGAUUUGUUUCCUCUUUAAUCUUAUUUAUUUUAUUGUUACCAUAUUUUGUUGGAUGGUUAAUAGUACAAUAACUUGUCAUUUUCCAACAAAUUAAAUAGAAAUUAUUUGGCUAUUUGUUGCUGGGUUUGUGGGCACGUGCACCUCUGACACACGUGGUGUGUGUAAAUUCAGACUUUGGAAUGUGUACAAUCUCCUUUUUCCUUCUUUCUCUCUGCACACGUGCGCCUCAGUCCUCGUGUCUCUCGGCUGACCACUCAGCCCCACCCCUCCUUUGACUCCCUCACCUUCACCUUUUUCCUUCCUUCUCCACAACAUCUUCCCCUAAAUCACGCUUAUUUGUUUUCCCAUUUUAAUCAUUCCUUUAUCAUUUCAUUCAUCUUUUUAAUUAUUUUUACCCUAACCCACAUUUUUUUCCCCAACCCAGACUCCAUACAAUGAAGAAAAAUGGAACCCCUUUUGGCCUUGAGAAAAAAAAAAAUAGAAUUGGGGUAUUGAAUUAUUUGGUCCCCUUCCCUUUUUUUUUUGGUUUCAAAGGAAUAAAUGGGUAUGAGAUUUGAUGAGAUUUUGUGGUCCUUUUCUGCUUUGUAACAGGUACAACUUCAUAUUUAUGCCACCAUCUCUUCCCCAUUUGGCCUUUGUGGUCCAUUUUCUUUUUCCAAAUGGUAAAAAUCAUUAGCAAAAUUCAAAUUAGGAGAUGGGUAAGUUGGAUUUAAGAUUUUCAGCACAUUUUCCUUGAAAUGGUAACGCGUUUUUGUAAAUUUUUUUGACAAUUUAAAGAAUUAUAUAAGUUGAAGGUGAUUUUAUUAAAAUGGGUAUUUAAUAUUUUCCAAUUUAUAAGAAAAUGAAUUGUGUCGGUGAGUGUAUCAUCAUCCCUGUGGCCCUUAAGGCUUGAGGUCCUACACGUAUAGGGGAGGCCCUUGUCUGUGAGGGGUCAAGAACCAAUUCAUUAUGGCAAUGAAAAUGGUUGAGAGGGAGACCCUCAAACACCCAAAUGAAUAUAUGAUUGGAAUACUUGAAAAAUACAUGAAAUGAAAUGGGGGUAGGUCCAAUUCCGUUAAAAUGCAAAAUCAUUGAGACCCAAUUGAUAGGAUGGAUCCAAAAGGAAGCACAGCUGAGUGCCCACAUGGAAGUGGAUAUGGCUAGGGCCAGGGGGAGAAGCAGAAGGGAAGGGGCUAUUUUAGCUUUUUGAUUGAGCAAUUUGUAUAUGUGGGAAUUACAAAAUGGUUGAGAUGUGAAUCCUGUUCCUCUCCAUAGUGGAGGAAUGGUGCCAAAUAAAUAGCACAUUAUGUGGGGAAGUUGAAAUGGACCUUGAAUAUGAUAGUACAUAAUGUGGACAUCUACCUGUUCCUGGGCUGAAAACUGUCACCUCACACGUGGAGGGGAGAUGCUGUGGGGACUCUCUUCUCUCUCUCUCUCUCUCUCUUAUCAUAUGCCCUCUUCAUAUACAAUCCCAUUUGCAUCCCCCACCUCCCUUUCCUAUCACAAGCAUAAAAUUUAUCCUCAUUUUUAGCAUUCUAUUUGCUCAAAAUUUUCACAUUAUGCUAGCUUAAAAGUGGUCUAGGUCAACCUGAUAUCAAAAUUUUCACAUUCGGUAAGAUUUAAAAGUGGUCUAAGUCAAAUGCCGACAUUUUAUUUAUUUAUCAUCGUCAAUUAUUGGAUGUGAUAAUAAAAAGAAUUAUUUGUUAUUAGAUAUUAACAUAUAUGGUAUUGCAAGGUUAAAAAGGUAGUAUUACGUACGAAAGGGGAAGGCAUAUUGUCUUGCAUUAAUUGGUUAGGGUAUCUUGGAUUUGCAUCAUAAUCUAAUUAACUUAAUUAUUAAGCUAUAAGCAUAAGUAGAAAGCUCUAUCAUGAGGAUGAUACAAUAAUUUGGAUUCCUACAAUCAGGCAUGCAUCAAUGCAGAAAAAAACAUCAUAAUCAAACUUCCCAAGGAUUGGUACAAAGUUGAGUGGUGUCCAAAUCCCACAAAUCAUGCACAUUCUAAUGUGUCUCAGAACAACUAACCUACCUAUAAUCCUACUAACAUAAUCCUCCAUCAUAAACCCUUUUUCCCCAAUGGAGGAUAAUAAGAUUCUUCGAUUAAAAAACAUCCCAACAAUUAUUAUUAAAAGAAGACAGUUUGAUUUAACAUUAAUAAUUGGGUUUAAGAAUGUCUUUUAAGUGGCCUAAAGUUGAGUGAGGAUAUGAGCAAGUGAUGGGAUUCUCUCAUUAAAAAAAGGGCCCUUCAUUCUAAUACUAAAAAAUUAAAGGGAAAAAAAUGGGAAAGGUGGGUGUUGUGGGGGUUGAACCAUCCUGGGCUUCCAUUAUUCUAAGGGCUGUCAAGUGGGUAGAGGGCUAAAUGUCCCUUAUGGGGACCAUGUGGAUGAACAUGGGAUCAUCCCCUUCUCCUCUGUAUAUAUAUAUAUAUAUAUAUAUACACUUGUAUAUAUAAAUAAAAAUAAAGAAAUAUUCGGACCCUAUUAUUGCCUUGUACUUCUCCUUCUGUUUUAGAUUUUAUUCAAUUUUUUUUAUUAGAAGCUUCAAUUGCCCAUAAAACUUAGUUUUCUGUGAUAAUAUAAUUAUCAUUUGCGUUCAUAAUCAACCCCCACACCCCUCACCCCCCCUCCCAAAAAGCAAGGGUUUUUGGGAUUUCCACGACUCCCAUCUCAAAAUAACCCGAAUGUCCUUUCACACUUGGGCUCAGCUCAAGCGGGGCCACCCCUCUGGUACACCAUGAUAAUGUCAUGGCCUUAUUUUUCACCCUGGUGGGGCCAUUAUGGGCUUUCCAUCCAAUGGCUCUGGUAAUGUCAUCUGGGUGUGGGAUGGAAACACCUGAGCAUAUUCUCCAUAUGGUGGAAACUUGAAAAUAGGAAUAAAAUUUGAUUUAAUCACACCUUAUCUUUUUUUUUUCCUUUUAUUUUUUCCCAGGAAAAUCUAGAGAGAGAGAGAGUGAGUGUGUGUCAGAAAUUCAGAUACUGAAAUAUCCGGGCAUUAAUUUUCUUGACCUGUUCUUUUAGAUUCGUAGCAGAUACCCCUCGUGUGCUCCUCUUCAGUCCUCCAUUAAUGCCCUCUUCUUAAAAACACCCCUCCAAUCCUCCAUUAAUGCCCUCUUCUUAAAAACACCCCUCCACACCUCCAAACCUCCAAACCUUUUACCCCUUCCUCUAUAUCUCAAUCUUUAAUCUUCUCUCCGCGAUGGACUGGUCUCUGGCCGUUACCAUCGGUGCGGCUCUCCUCGCCAUCUUCUUCUUGUUCCUGCGCCUCACUCGCCCCAGGGGCCACCGCCUGCCUCCGGGCAACCUGGGGCUCCCCCUGGUGGGCGAGACUCUGCAGCUCAUCUCCGCCUACAAGUCGGCCAACCCUGAACCCUUCAUCGACGAGAGGGUGACUCGGUACGGGCCCUUGUUCACCACCCAUGUGUUCGGCGAGCCCACGGUG
rnacentral:lncRNA from 1 species